GGCACCCAACUUAUCCCAAGUCUCAGUGUUGAUAGAAGAAUCUUGUAGGUUGUCCUCUUGGUCCUCUCCCAUGUCUUGCAUCUUGGCAUCCGGAUCCGCGGAGCAUUUGGAGCUCUGCCAUCUCCCUGAUGGGUGUUGCCAGGACCAACACCACCAGGUCUAGAGCUUCCUGGUGGUCGUGCUCCUCCCGCCAAGUCAGAAUCCUUGGGCGGAGGGUUGGAAGGCCCAGCUCCGAGCACCGCCCGCUCGCCAGCGCGCUUGGGGAGCACCUCACGCUCAACCUUGAUCUGAAAUCCCUCAUUAUUGAACCACACCUCCACAAACCCGUUAAGCUUCUCCGGUGCCUUGCAAGCUAUCUUCAUCCUCACCAGCCCCAACGUGAUGAGGGACAGCUUAUCCACCACAAUUGGUCGACCUAGCAUCCAGAACCCUUCCUUGAUGCGGUCCUCGCACCUGUGCUUCUUAGGGAUGUCGUGCAGCCUCACCCACGUCUCGGGCACGGCCAUCGCCUGCACCUCCUCAUGAAGCAUGUCCCGCACCGUAGCAGUGAUGUCAUUGAUGGACAAGAACAGCUUCCCACUAGACUUAGUCAUAUGUAGCAGAUCUGCUUGAGGAUGUGGAGGUUGAGCUUCCCAGGCUCCGCAGAUAGGAUAGCCGCGUUCUAGAUUCUAGCAUCCACGGGCAAGUCGGCCUCGGCAUCCUCAUCGAACUCAAGACAGAAAAAACCCUCUCCUGAGAUGGCACUGCCCUUGAACUGCAGGUGUAGUUGGCGGCCUCGCGACGGGCAAUUGGCGGAAGCAUGCCCCUCUUCCUUACAGAACAUGCAGAGAGGCUUGUACAUGCACUUGGAUUGAAAGUGGGCCAAGAGCCCACACUUGAAGCACUCGACGUCAGGGGCCUCCUCCAUCGGAAUGGGCUCCUCCGUCAUGCCCUUGGAUGAAGAGGGAAGCGCCAUCUCCAGCGGCACCGCGAGCGCCCGAGGCUUCUUGGCCAGCGGGUCACCGUAGCCCCCACCACAGUUUGGGUGCUCCAUCGGCUUUCUUUCGAGCUCCUGACGCCGUUGACUGGCCUUCUUCUUCUUAUUGCGUUCUUGGAGUUGGAUCCACCAAGGGGGAGGAGGACCCAAUCCCCCUCUCGCCCACCCUGGUCUCGGGACCCAUCGCACUCCUCCCGGGCCUCGCGGCAAUCGCCCGAGCGCUCGCGCAUCGCGUGCUUCGCCUUGUCGCGCGGAUCGCGCUCCCUGCGCCGGUCCGCCUCGUGGUUGGAGAUCUCCAUUGGCCGCUUGUCAGCCCGCCGGUCGCCCAUCACCGCCGCCGCGAAAGACUUGAGAAGAUGGGGAAGGGGAGGAGAGAUCAGGAGGGUGCGGGCGGAGUGAGCGAGGCGCCGCACCUCUCUGGAAGUAGCUGGAAACCCUAAAAUGUCAUGUCCUCUCUUUUGAAAGGUAUUGUGGAACUGCAUCCUCAUUUUCGAUCUCAUGGUUUUAGUUUUCUUUCUCCUAUUUUGCUCUUGCAUGUGUAUCGUAGUUUUACAUUUUCCGCGCAUCAAUGAUUGCAUAGUGUUUAUAAUGAAGGCUACGAAAUUUUGCAUACGUCUAUGCUUUCUCCGAGGCAACUUUGGAAGAAACUAUGAGACGCAGCGGCGGGCCAUCCAUUGUUCCCUGGUACGACAUGCAUUCUAUGUCCUAGACCCAAGGUCGGCACAUGGACUCAGAUGCUGACCGCCUUGCUUUGGGCUGACAAAAUGCUAUUCCAUAACUGGAUUGUUAUACAUGUCGGUUUCGGUCUUACUUAUAUCCAUGACAAAUUUUCAUCAGACAUAGUCGAACAAGCUUGGAUUUGCCCCUCCUAAUGAAGAUAUACGCUCUUGGGCCCCCUCAUGUGAUCCGACUAGAAUAAGCAUGGCCACGCGACAAGUAUUAUGAGAUAAUCCGAUUUCGGCAGUUGAUAUCACGGUACGAGAAAGUGGUCGGUCUAGCACAUGACCGACUCGCCUUGAGCCCGGCAACAUAUAUCGUGAGGCAGAAGGAAUAGAAGCUAGACAUUGUAUAUGUUUGCCAUGUUGGCUUCAUCGGACACUUGAAAUCGACAAGCUUUGCUAGAAGCCACUAUCGACUGGACAAGCAGGAUGCAAUCCGACUCGCGACCAAGUGGAUGAGAAUCUUCGCGCGCUUAAGGGUAUGGACCUGUGAGGCCGGAUCUGACUUCACAAGAUGGAUGUGUUCCGACCAGGAUUUGGAUCUAGGUCAAAUAGACUUUGGGUUUUAGGAUCCAUGCGAGGCCCAUGUGAUGAGCCCGUAAUGGAUGCCUGGAUAUAAUAGAGAUGCAGCACACGAUUUUUGUUGAUCGCUUUUGUGCCGUUAUUAGGGCUUUACAUGUGUUGCAGCUGGCCACACUAGUAGAAAAAGGACCUAAUAUGAGACACAUUAGUGCCGGUUCGAUUUUGAGCCGGCACUAAUGUGUCCAUUAGUGCCGGUUCCAACGGCUAGCCGGCCGUUCUCAUUAGUACCGGUUCAUGGUCAACCUUUAGUACCGGUUUGUGGCACGAACCGGUACUAAAGAAGGUGGUGGUAGUGUGUUGUCAGUCUGGGGCCCGUCCAGCACCUUUAGUACCGGUUCGUGGCACGAACCGGUACUAAAGGUCGACCUACAUAAACCCUUCGUCCACCCGAGCUCACUCUGUUCUUCCCCUUUCCCCUCUCAUCCUCUGUUCUUCCCCUCUUCCUCUCGAGCUCAUCACACAUUUUGCCCAAAAUUUGUCAAGAUUUGAAGGCCCCCAUCCAUUCAAAUGAUCACAAAGGUUAGCAACUUUGUCCUUUCAACUCUCAUUGCUAGAUUAGCUCUUGCAAUGCUUUGUAUAGUUAUUAAUUUGGGAGGAAUUAUAUUUGCUAGUAUUUGAUUUAUAUGCAAUUUGAGGUUAAAAAUAACACUUAGUUUGCAUAUAUAGGUGUGGUUUACUUAGUGUCUUCUAAAUCUCCGUCGUAACCACCGUCGAUCGCCCGCACCGUCCCGUCGCCGGCACCACCUUGUGGUGAGGCUCUUGUUCAUGAAUGUUUUACAUUACCAAAUUGAUGUUUGUGUGAUUUGGAUAUAUAGUUAAUCGUAUAAUUAUCUUACCCGUACGUUGUUUGUUAUACAUAGUGCCAUGGUUUUGAUAUCCGUCCCCGUCGGCCCUCGUCCUUGUUAUAAUUCGGAUGUGGUAUAUUCUCUUUUAAAACUAGUUUUUGCAUUUCGUGUUUAUGACAAAUUAUGCCCAUCAAGUUGACAUAGAUAUUUUUAUCUAGGAGGUAUGUGAACCGGAAAUUCCAACCGACCCUAUUGUCGACAGGUUAAAUUUAGUUGAAAGAGAAAACGAGUAUUUGAAAGAAAAGUUGAAAAUAAUUGAGGGGGAGAAGAUGGAAUUGGAGUUGCAUGUUGCCGAUGUCGUCGAUGAUCACAAGAUCAAGAUGGAGAAAAUGAGGUUGAAGAUUAGAAAGAUUAGAAAAUAUGCCAUUGAUAGUGUGGCUUGGUAUCAUUAUGCUAUUGGAUCAAUUGUUACCUUAGUUGUGAUCUUCAUCGCAUUUGUUGUUGCAUUUAAAUUCUUUAGCUAGAGACUUAUUUGUAUGCUGCAUUUAAUUAAGUGUUGUAUAUGAACUUUAUGUAUGAACUUUAUGUAUGAACUUGUAUUAAUUUAGUCUAUUCGGUGUUGUGUAAUGAAGAUGAGCCGACAAUGGAUGUAUGAUGACCGAUGCUCUCCCGAGUUCAUUAUUGGCGUGCAUACUUUUCUUCUUGCCGCUGAGGCAAACAAGUGGGCGGAUGGUUUUAUGCCUUGUCCAUGUGCUGGCUGUAAGAAUGAUCACAGUUACUCUAUGUCAAGAACCAUUCACGUCCACCUAUUUGAGUCCGGUUUCAUGCCCCACUAUAAUGUUUGGACCAAGCACGGAGAAAUAGGGGUUAUGAUGAAAGACAAUGAAGAAGAAGAGGACGACAACGGCUAUCCUGGCCAUGGGUUCCCUGAAUACAAUGAUACAACAAUGGGGGAAGAAGCUGAGCCGGCAAUGCGGGAAGAAGGUGAAGAAGAGGGAUCAGAUGAGCCCGCUGAUGAUCUUGGUCGGGCCAUUGCCGAUGCAAAGAGAAACUGCGCAAGUGAUCCGGAGAGGACGAAGUUGCAGCGCAUGUUAGAGGAUCACAAGAAAUUGUUGUACCCGAAUUGCGAAGCUGACAAAAAAAGUUGGGCACCACACUUGAAUUGCUGCAAUGGAAGGCAGAGAAUGGUAUAUCUGAUAAGGGAUUUGGAAAGUUGCUGGUAAUGAUAAAGAAUAUGCUUCCAAAGGACAACAAAUUGCUCAAGAGUACGUAUGAAGCAAAGAAGGUUGUCUGCCCUCUAGGGUUAGAGGUGCAAAAGAUACAUGCAUGCCCUAAUGACUACAUCCUCUACCGCGGUGAGUACGAGGAUUUGAACGCUUGCCCGGUAUGCGGUGCAUUGCGUUAUAAGAUCAGUCGCGAUGACCCUGGUGAUGUCGAGGGCGAGCGCCCCGGGAAGAAGAUUCCUGCCAAGGUGAUGUGGUAUGCUCCUAUAAUACCACGAUUGAAACGUUUGUUCCAAAACAAAGAGCAUGCGAAGGCGAUGCGGUGGCACGCAGAAGACCAUAAGAAAGACGGAAAGUUGAGAGUACCCGCUGACAGUUCGCGGUGGAAAAAAAUCGAGAGAAAGUUCUAAGAGGAGUUUGCAGGUGACCCAAGGAACGUAUGGUUUGGUCUAAGCGCAGAUGGCAUUAAUCCUUUUGGGGAGCAGAGCAGCAACCAUAGCACGUGGCCUGUGACUCUAUGUUUGUAUAACCUUCCUCCUUGGUUGUGCAUGAAGCGGAAGUUCAUUAUGAUGCCAGUGCUCAUCCAAGGCCCUAAGCAACCCGGCAACAACAUUGAUGUGUACCUAAGGCCAUUAGUUGAAGAACUAUUACAGCUGUGGAAUGGAACAGGUGUACGUGCGUGGGAUGAGCACGGACAGGAAGAAUUUGACCUAAAGGCAUUGUUGUUGGUGACCAUCAAUGAUUGGCCUGCUCUCAGUAACCUUUCAGGACAGACAAACAAGGGAUACCGCGGAUGCACGCACUGUUUGGAUGAUACCGACAGUAUAUAUUUGGAUAGUUGUAGGAAGAAUGUGUACGUGGGACGUCAUCGAUUUCUUCCGACAAGGCAUCCCGUAAGAAAGAAAGGCAAGCAUUUCAAAGGUGAGGCAGAUCACCGGACGAAGCCUCGCCACCGUACUGGUGCUGAUGUACAUGAUAUGGUCAAGGAUUUGGAGGUAAUCUUUGAAAAGGGUCCUAGCGGAAAACCUGUUCCGAAGGACGCUGACGGACGUGCAUCCAUGUGGAAGAAGAAAUCUAUAUUUUCGGACCUGCCAUAUUGGAAAGACCUAGAGGUCCGCUCCGCAAUCAACGUAAUGCACGUGACGAAGAAUCUUUGCGUGACCCUGCUUGGCUUUUUGGGCGUGUAUGGGAAGACAAAAGAUACACCAGAGGCACGGGAGGACCAGCAACAUAUGCACGGAAAAGAUGGCAUACAUCAGGGUUAGGCCAGCUACGCUCUUACCAAAGAAGAGAAUGAAAUCUUCUUCGAAUGCCUGCUCAGCAAGAAGGUACCAUCUGGCUUCUCAUCGAACAUAAAGGGAAUAAUAAAUAUGGCAGAGAAAAAGUUCCAGAACCUAAAGUCUCAUGACUGCCACGUGAUUAUGACGCAACACCUUCCGGUUGCAUUGAGGGGGCUUCUACCGGAAAACAUUCAAUUAGCCAUUGUGAAGCUAUGGGCAUUCCUCAAUGCAAUCUCUCAGAAGGUAAUCGAUCCAGAAAUCGUACCAAGGUUACAGAAUGAUUUGGUGCAAUGUCUUGUCAGUUUCGAGUUGGUGUUCCCACAAUCCUUCUUCAACAUCAUGACGCACGUCCUAGUUCACCUUUGUGAAGAGAUUAACGUUUUGGGUCCUGUAUUUCUACACAAUAUGUUCCCCUUUGUAAGGUUCAUGGGAGUCUUGAAGAAAUAUGUUCAUAACCGUGCUAGGCCAGAAGGAAGCAUCUCGAAGGGCCAUGAAAAUGAGGAGGUCAUUGAGUUUUUUAGUUAUAUAAAUAUUAGAAUUGUUAUGGAAAUGUUAGUUAUACAAUCAGGAAAUUUUAGAAUUAGUUUUAGUUAGAUGAAUUAAAUUAAUGUCAAAUUGUUAGAAUUUGCAUAUAUAUAGAAUUUUAGUUAUCACAAUCCAAUCACUUAAAAAAUGUUACUUUUUACGGGGAUAUAGUAUUUGUUCUCGACGAUAUGCCCGGCCUGCAUCCUCGCCGUCGACCCGUUCACGACGACGUCCUGCUUCAGGGGACCCAUGUCCGGGACUGGGCUCCGCCGGGCUGGCACUGGGAGGUGCUACCUGGAGGGGCGCGCCGCUUGGUGAGGAACCCGACCUCGGGUCCCGUCGUCGACCCUGAUCUUCUUUGGUGGCGUUCGCGUGGGCCACAUUCGGUGCAGAGGCAGCCGGCCCCGCCGGAGGUGGUGCGUCGCCGUGUCAGGGAGGAAGAUGAGCACGUCCAUCGCUACAUGGCUGCUAUGGACGACGUCAGGUUCUUCACUACUUGGCGGGUUCUUUGGGCAGAUGACCAGAGAUAUGAUCAUGUGAUGGUUCCUUCUCUUUGGGUGUGCACCGCCCGCGCCCCAGGAACCGCGAGUGGCGCCCUAGAUUCUUCUGUAGUACUCGAUGUUUAUUAGGUACCUAGCCAGUGAUGUAUUCGAUAUAUAAUAUUCGAGACGAUGUAUUCGAGAUUAUAUAUAUUAAGACGAUGAUGUAUUCGAGAUUAUAUAUUCGAGACAACGUAUUCAAGAUUCAGUUUUUCCUUAUUGAUUAAUUGCAUCCAUGCAUUGUAAUUUGAAUACUAAAUUGUUUUAUAUUUCUUCUGUAUUAGUAAAGUAAAAGCUAUGGCGGACAAUACCGGCAGAGAGAGAGAAGAGGAAUUGUUCGACAUCAUACGCAGCCCUCACAGGCUAGAUGAUCUGAAUGAAGCAGAUGACGGCUCCCAAUAUCUGAACAAUACCGGAGAGGGUGAUGAAAAGAUAUUCGAUCUCGACGACCGAGCUGAUGAAGUCAUGAACUAUGAUUAUGAUUAUGAUGACACAGACAAUGUUUGUGAUGACACAGACAAUGCUGAUCUUCAAAUAACAAAGACUACCGGUAAGGUAUAUUUAUAUAAGCAUGCAUCAUGGUGAUCAUCACAUGUUUUUUUAUUGAAGAUAUAUUAACGAAUCGAUCUUUCUUCUUUCAGCCCUCCGGAUCGAGCAAAUCUGCUUCUACAGACAGCAAGACAAAGCGAGGCCCGGGCAGAAUGUUGAAGGAUGGUGCAAAGUACCAAAUCGAAUCCAUCAAACUUAGUGGUGAACCCCUCACGCCUAAGAACGUUGCGGACAGGUGGACUCGUCAGUGCGGAGUUCUUGUGAAGGACAAACUCCUGAUCUCCAUUCAAGAAUGGAAAGAGCCAAAGACUAAACGUCCAGGUGUUACUUGGGUCGACCGCAGAGCCAAAGAAGACCUUUUGAAUCUCUAAUGGAACAUUUCACCCUAUCAGAUCAUUUCACUGAAGUAGAUGUGAAGAAAGUCAAGGCUGCUGCUCUUAAGAAGAUGGCAAUUGCAUUCAACACCCACAAGAAAACUGUAUGGGCCAACUACCUCGCUAAUGAAAGGAAGACUCCAGAUUUCAAGGGAACACUGGAGAAGCAAAGAGAGCACUGGGACAAUUUCGUGACCUUCAAGGAUUCAGAAUUAUCUAAGGAACAAUCGAUGAAAAACAAGGCAAAUGCCGCAAGAAAGAUGCAGUUCCAUAAGCUGGGUCCAGGUGGCUACGCGGUGGGAUUGCCUAAGUGGGAUAAGUCUGAGCAAGAGAUGGAGGAUGCAGGGGUCACUCCGGUUACUAGGAACUGGCCCCCCAGGUGCAGAACUUGGUUCUAUGCGCAUGGGGGAGCGUUGGACCAGAAGACAGGCGAAGUUUCACGGAAGGCAAGUCUAAAAGGAGACGAACAAAAGAUAAUUGACGCAAUAGAAGAAGCUUGAAGGGGGGAGUUCACGCCCAAUAGAGAGAACGACGAGCUUACGCGCGCCCUGGGAAAUCCUAAACACCCGUGAAGAACACGAGGCAAGGGCGUUAUUCCCUGGUAUGAGGGCUUUUCGGACUGGAAUGACGACUACAGGUCCCGUGCAAGAAAGAAGAUGGAGGAUGAGAAGAAGAGGAAGUUGGAGGAGGAGCAGAGGAAGCAGGACGCGGAACGCCUUCAAGGCCUAGAAGCAAGGCACGCGGACCUGGCACUCAAAUUCCAGCAGCAGCAGCAGAAGAUCGACUCACUUAGCCAGGAAAGGGGGUCUCAGCAGCAAAGCAGCAAGCGGAUGAUCGUCCAGCAUUGGAUAGCACCGUCCCAUCCAUGCCGAGAAGCAGCGUUGGUUCUACCCCGGGAGACACACUGCUGGAUACAUACCCUGUGGAUGACAUCAUAGAGAACACUAACUGUGAGCUACACUCCAAAAUGAAGAACAUAUCCAUGAAGGUGGCGAACGACGUUUCUUUUCCAGUUACCCCCAAAGCAACCUACCAUUGCAUCCCGAUUCCAGAGGGCUAUGCUCGUGUCAUGGUUGAUGAAGUGGUGGACCCAUAUUCGGGGCUAACGCUUGACAUUCCUGGAGGUGAAGACGAGCGCACACCGGGAGAGGCCAUACAUCGUAUCAUCCUAUGGAGAAAGAAUUGCAUCAUCUUUCGAAGUCAACCGACACCGCGUCGUCUGUCGACUCCUCCUCGAAGUCCGCCACUGAGUAAGCAGACUCCCGCUCCUCCAAGUCCACGAACGCGUGAGACGACUCCUCCUCGAAGUCCGCCACCUCCUCCAAGUCCCCAAACGUGUGAGCUGACUCCUCCGGUUUCAAGUCCGGCACAGCGUCAUGCCACUUCUCCGGUUUCAAGUCCGGCACCGUGUCAGGCCACACCUCCUGCUUCAAGUCCGGCACAUCGUCAGGCCACUUCUCCUGGUCCAACUCCACGUCAGCCGUCUCCGUCGUCUCAGCAAUCGCAGAGGAGACAUGCUGCAGCUUUGGUGCAUAGCGGUACGAGUCGAGGUAGUUCAGGAAGUACAGGCGGAGACAAGCGAUAUAAAUAUGGUCCAAGCCUCACUCCUCUUCCUCAGAGGCCUUACGACAUGACUAAGGAGCAAAACACAGCCAUAGUGCAAGCCCAAGUGGAUGCCCAUUUUGGACCGAAACCGGCACCGCCGCUAAAGGAGAAAGUGCCUGAGAAAGUAAUUGACCACUUCAUUCCUAUGGCUAGAGAACCAGCUCCCAAGCCUGUUGACUCGGACUAUGAGCGCCAAAUCAGGAAGGCACAUCGAGCACGAGUACAGAAGGAAGCGAGCUCAAGCUCGAGCCAACAAGCAGCUGGCAAAGAAUGUGGGAGAACCGUUCCCCAGUUGGGAGAACAGGCGGCGCAAGUGAUCCCCCCGCUUGUUGUGCCAACAACACAUGAGAGGAGUAGUACGCGCGCCAAAUAUUAUUAUGGGCAAACCAUUAGCGUUCCCCAGCAUGGCGAUGUGGUAAUAACCGAGGAUCAUAUAAUGCAGGCUCAAAUGCUCAAUAUCUCUGUUGGACAACUCCUCGAAAUCGAGCCCAUGCCUACGCUUAAAGAAUCGGAAAUAGCAUGGCAAUAUGUCCGGGGCAAACCUUUGGUCCAUCCAGACAAGGUCAAGGACCUCCCAACGAGAAUGUAUCAAUUGCAUCAAUGGUACAUGAACAUUACCAAGAUUUCCAAUCGAGAGUCCCUCAAGGUGAAUGUAAAGCAUGAGCAUUAUUACCAUGAGAAAGCUCUGACCAUUGAGUAUUCAGAACUAUUUCAGUUAUACAAUCAAGACGCACUCGACAAGUCUAUCGUCAGUUUCUAUUGUCUGUAAGUGAUUUCUUUCUGUAAUUUAAGUCUCAGGCUAGUUAUGUAGUGAUAAUUUUGAUCAAUCAUUACAUGUAAUUAUCCUCACUAUAUUUUUUUCUGUGGUAUUAUAUGCAGGAUGAAGAUGUAUGAAAUGAAAAAAGCUGGACGCUAUGGCGUUGGGUUCAUUGACCCAAAUACCAUUAAUCAGGACAUAUGGCAGAUUUAACAUUGUCAAGAUGCUGUAGAGGAAAGCAUGCUAGAGUUCUUGAAGCGCCUCAAUAGCAAUGAAGAUAUACUACUUCCUUACAACUUCCCGUGAGUUACACUGUCUUGUACUACAAAUUCUGUUUUUGCUUACUAGCUAGCUAGAUGUUAAUAAUUAAGUGUAUACGGUUUACUGUAGUUGAUUAAUUUUAUGCACAUGCCCGCUUAAUUAAGACAUGCAAACGUGUGCGUAUGCAGUUGGCACUGGGUCUUGUUAGACAUUAAAGUUGAGGAAGGAAAAGUUGAAUUACUGGACUCACUAACUAAAGAAGAUAAAGACUACACCAUCGUGAAGGGGAUAGUCAACAGGUAAUUUCAAUCAUUAUUAACUAUAUCUCGGCCUAUUAAUUAUUAGUUCGUCAUUUCCUGAUAUGAACUAUUUAAUAACCCAUUUAUUAAUUUUCUUUGCCGGCGGGCAGGGCAUGGGCAAAGUUCAUCAAGGUGACUCCAGGCACAUGGCCAAAAAAGUUGUGUUGGCAUCGACCCAAGGUAAGUAAUUAAGUACUACUAGCUAGCUACCAUCUCUUUAAUUCUUGUUUCAAUAUCAUCAAUUAAUUAUCAUGCUUGAUUAAUUAUUAUCUGAUUCAAUUCCAUUCUCGUAAAGGCCCUGAGGCAGGCGUCGGGGAAUAAUCUGUGUGCAUACUACGUUUGCGAGAACAUUCGCAUGAUGACGUGCGAAAGGAGCAGAUCUGAUAGACAGGACUGGGUACGUUUGUCAGAACACUAUUCACACCAUUAUCGAUAUCUAGUCACACAACUAACACACAUGCAUAUAUUGAUCUCCUUAAUAGUUCAGAUCGGUGCGGGAUAAGCUCCUACCAUCGAACCGCAUACUAGCACUUCAAGAGGAAAUAGCCGGAUUUUUGCUCGACCAGGUCAUAGACCCCAAAGGAGAAUACUAUUACGCGCUACCGCCCCCAUGAACCACUUGUCAUCGUGCUCCUAAGGCACCAAAGGCAACAUAUAUAUGUAGGAGAAAUUGUGUAUAUGUAUAUAGAUGUGUAUGUGUGAAUAAUUAAUGGUGUUGGUUUGUGAGACAUUCGAUGAUAUAUAUANNNNNNNNNNNNNNNNNNNNNNNNNNNNNNNNNNNNNNNNNNNNNNNNNNNNNNNNNNNNNNNNNNNNNNNNNNNNNNNNNNNNNNNNNNNNNNNNNNNNNNNNNNNNNNNNNNNNNNNNNNNNNNNNNNNNNNNNNNNNNNNNNNNNNNNNNNNNNNNNNNNNNNNNNNNNNNNNNNNNNNNNNNNNNNNNNNNNNNNNNNNNNNNNNNNNNNNNNNNNNNNNNNNNNNNNNNNNNNNNNNNNNNNNNNNNNNNNNNNNNNNNNNNNNNNNNNNNNNNNNNNNNNNNNNNNNNNNNNNNNNNNNNNNNNNNNNNNNNNNNNNNNNNNNNNNNNNNNNNNNNNNNNNNNNNNNNNNNNNNNNNNNNNNNNNNNNNNNNNNNNNNNNNNNNNNNNNNNNNNNNNNNNNNNNNNNNNNNNNNNNNNNNACAUACGAGAAAAUCUAUUUAUAUAUAUGCAUAACGUGUACAAUUUGUAGUAUCGUGAAAUACCAGCAAACAAAAAAAAUUGAAUGGAAAAUAAAUCAAAAAACCACCCCAAAUAUUUAGUACCGGUUGGUGUUACCAACCGGUACUAAUGCCCUACGCGCACCCGGGCCUGGCUUGUGCCACGUGGUGGCACUUUAUCGCCGGUUCGUGAUGAACCGGUACUAAGGGGGGGGGGCUUUAGUCCCCACUCUUUAGUGCCGGUUGGCAAACCGGCACUAAAGGCCGUUACGAACCGGUACUAAAGCCCGGCUCUGCACUAGUGCCACCUCUACACGCCGCUUGAUCGUGCGUCCGGAACUAGCUGUCCGCCGCACUAAAUUCCUCCUGCACGUGCGGAUAUCGUUAGAGGCAAUGCAAUUGCGCUGCUCUAGCAAACUUAUUUGUAGGAUCCAACGACCAACUGUAUGAGGGAGGUCGGCGACGAGGCAGAGACGACUCCGAUUACGUGCUGCUUCUGACUCUUCUUCCACUUCAAGGACUGUGUGUCAUAGUGAUAACCUCAUGAUCUAUCUCCUAAGCAUGUUCCUCGAUGUCCUGCGCGCCAGGAAAUUUUGCUAUGCAAUAGUUGCAAGCCGCGUAGCCCAAGAUCCCUGUUGUCCUCUAUUUGACCAAGCUUGCCAAUUGCUCUGUCCAGGCAUGUCUUCUAGACCAGGCUCUCCCAAAGACUCCUCUUCCUCUACUGGCAGCCUAGACACGACUACAACCUCGCACUCACAGGUAGAAAAAGACACCUCCAGAUCCAGUUAUUUUUUUUUCAGGGCCUCCAGAUCAGUUAGGUGAGGGUCGGAGGAAAUAUCAACCUUUUCCCCUACAAAAUCCGACUCAACCCCCGGCAGCUAGCAGCUGGGCCAGCUCAAUUACAACCAACUGGCUAAACUUGAUUCUUAAUGCAAGGCAUAUACAAUGGUUCUAUCUUAAGAAUGCCACGUAGGAUAAAUGAUGAGAUGAAGGAGAGAGAAAUCAUAAGAAAAGGCUUGUCUUCUUUUAUUUAAGAGAAAACAACAAAUGAUCUCAUAACAUAAGGGCAUGUAUAAUGGUUGAUAAGAUAGUCUUAUUUUAAGUCUUGCAUGUAAUUUAGAGAUAACAAAAAACGAUGUCUACAAUGAGUCUUUUCUUAGCCUUAUCUUCAAUAACUAGCUAAUCCUAAAAACAUGGUGAGACAUAUUGUGCUAAGAGAUCAUCUCUUGUCUUCUCUUAAAUAAGAGAAGACAAGCCUUUUCUUAUGAGUUUUCUCUCCUUCACCUCAUCAUUUAUCCUACAUGGCACUGUUAAGAUAGCACCAUUGUACAUGCCCUAAUAUGUCUUACCAUGUUUUUAGGAAUAGCUAGUUAUUGAAGAUAAGGCUAAGAGAUGACCAUCUUAGACAUAUUUUUUUUGUCAUCUGUAAAUUACAUGCAAGACUUAAGAUAAGACUAUUCUUUUAACCAUUGUACAUGCCCUAAAUCAUCAGGCCUACUUUCCAUAUCAGGAAGUGUAUCUCAAUUUUUUAUAUUAGACUAGCACUUUUCAUAUCAGAAAGUGUACUACUAUUAGAAGCAUCACAAUUCUCAUCAAUAUAUUCUUCUAAGAAAUUAUUAACUGGAUUUUUCACCCCAAUCCAUAUUAAUUGUCGUUGAUUUAGUAUAACUUUAUAUUAAAUCAACAAUAAUUAAUAUGGAUUGGAGGGAAUAUCCCAGUCCACAUUAGUAUCUAGAUGAUCGGGUGUCGAUUGUUUUUUGAGAGUAUGGAAGUUGUUUUCAGUGUCAAAGUUGUCAUCCCCUUCAAUUCCCAAAUAGAAGUUGCUUAUCAUAUAAUAUAUAAAUUAGCCGCCAUGGGAGUCAAAGAUUUCAAAGACCCCAAAUCAGAAUAAAUUUCUAUCGGAUGAUUACUCCUCCAUCCAGGUGAAUCAACAAAAGCCAAAUCCUAAACAUCGUCAGGUAUAUUUCUAAAAUUAUUCUUAUUAGAAAAUUUGCCAGUUUUAACGAACAGACUCUUAACAUAAUCAUCAUUUUUAAAAGAUUUUUUACAUUGCUCGGUUCGUCGAAUUCGAUGAUGGCAACUCUUCUUCUUUUCACAAUCCACUGCAUUAAUAUGUGAAAAGAAAAUGAGGUAACAAGAGGGGGGAAACUGCAUACCAGGUCAAAAAGAUCCAGCAAGCUCGCCAGAAUCUUCGUCGGAGACAUCCUGACAAGCAUCUAGAAGAUACUGCCGGAAAAACGACUAGCCACAACUUUCGUUGGUGGCGCGCCAUUUUUCAUCAACGAAGCACUAUAUAUUUCAAAUAGUGCUGGCGUUGGCCAAACUGAUAGUGCCGGUGUGUCAAUUUCUGGUAAUGUCGGUACUAUGUGGGCCCAGCUGUCAUGAAUAGUUGCAAGAUACUGCUGGUGUGCGCUUUAUAAUAACGCCAUAGAUACGUGACCUAGUGUUGUCGUGCCACCGUUUGGGACGCCAGCACUAAGUUUUGCCUAUAUAUAGUGUUUGCAGCCCUUCUUUCUCAAAUACAUUCAUUUCCAUUCUUCACAAAAAUCUACUCCCUCGUAUUAGCUGCUUUGUUGACAAUGGACCCACCGGAGCUUGACGAAUCGGCACGAGCCCCAUGUGUGGGCCCACAACGGCGGGGCGUGUCGAAGGUUUGAGACUCCGCCGCUUUGGCCAAGCUCUCUUCUGGCCCCGACAUCUAUGACAUGAGCUCACCAGGACCAAUACAGUCUGCCCUAUCCGGCGAAUCAUGCCCGUGCAGCGCGACGUCUGUUCGAUCCGGUAGCUAUGCCACCGGCACCAAAGCUGCCGCGAAUCGAGCGAGGGCACCUGUGCUGAUUUGCGGCUGUCGACGCCCUACUGAUAAGCAUAUGUCGCACAUGGAACCGAAUCCAAAGCGAGAGUUCUACAUCUGCGCUAAAUGUUGAAAGGUAAUAACACAUAAAAUACUUCUUAUAUAUUCCUGCUAAUUUGCACAAUUCAACUAUAUAUAUGUGUGUGUGUGUGUGUGUGUGUGUGUGUGUGUGUGUGUAAAAUACCUCUUAAUCUAACAGAAAAAAAGUUACGGGGCUUUUAAGAUUUGGAGGCAAAAAAAUUCAUCAAAUUUCCGUUUUUUUUGAAUUUUUGUUAAAUCUGGUCAAACUAUGGUCAAACUACUUAUUCAAGAAGUAUUAGUGUUACUAAAUAAUUAUUCAAGAAUAUUAGUGUUACUAAAUAAUUAUUUUAGUUUUUUUGAAUUUUGGUCAAAUCUGGUCAAACUAUGGUCAAACUGUGGUCAAACAGUGGUCAAACUAAUUAUUCAAGAAAUAUUAGUGUUACUAAAUAUAAGUGUUAUUUUUUAGAACGGUACUUUCAAACUCAAACAGUGAAAUAUGUGACUUCAUGCUCAAGUUAAAUUCCUGAGGUUAAUAGGAUUGACAUCUUACUAUUGUUAGGAAAACAACAAGUGCAGACUUGGAAAUGAGGGAGAAUAGAACCCAGAAGUUAAGCGUGCUCAGGCUGGAGUAGUGAGAGGAUGGGUGACCGUCCAAGAAGUUAGAUGAUGAGGGGUGAUUAGAGGUUAAAUUGAGAAGUGAUCAGGGGUGAUUAGAGAUGAGAGGUUAAAAUAAUUCAAAAAUUUGAAAAUCAAAAAAUAUUCCAAAAAUAAAUUUUUAAAAAAAAUCAUAAAAUUUCCUUUCGUACGGGUUGGUGUUACCAACUGGGACUAAAGGUGGACCUCCAGGCAGCGGCCACGUGAAGAGCCUUUAGUCCCGGUUCGUGUAAGAACCAUGACUAAAGGGGGGACUAAAUGCCCUUAUGAACCGGGACUAAAAGCCCUUUUUCUACUAGUGCUAGUGUACCUUUAUUGUAGUUCUAUGUAGUGUACUUAUAGUGACAGAAUUUAAUAUAGUUCUAGACUAUGAUUUUAGUGUAGUUGUAGUGUACGUUUUAUUACAUUGUAGAUUGUAGGUUUUGCAGGUACUUGUUAAUAUAUGCACCAUCACAGAUGGCUCCGAAGUUUCAUCAUGUGCGACCAAAGGAAAAUAAGUACUAUGCCAUCAUUAGGAAGGACAAUGUUGUCCAUGAUCUUGGCCAUUAGGGCACCUCGAAGUUAGUUGUGUGUGCCUAUGAUGCCAGGGCGGUAGAGUUCUUUCAAGAAGGGUGAUUCUGAACUUCCCUGAGUGUCGUGAGUACACGAAGUUCCUCGCGCCAGACAGCAUGAGGAUGUGCAGUAGGGCUGAGGAGAAGGCGAACUAACAGGCCGAGAUGCAGUUCUUCGACCCAUUGGUGAGCGAGUUUGCAAGAGAUAACAAACUCGUGGAGCCCAUUAAAAUGAUGCUACUUCAGUAUUCAGUCAAGAAGAGCGCUGAGGAGGAUCUCAUAGACUGGGAUGCCUUGGAGCAUGAGGAGGAAUGUCAACAGGGGUAACAUCAUAGGUCCACUAGGCACGACCACGAGGCCGGUCCCUCUGGCCACUAGCUUAAUUACCGUGCUACCUAUUUCGUAUGAACUGUUUAACUUUAUGUAUAUUUUAUGUUUGAACUACGCAUGGUUUGUUGAACUGUUUAAUUACAAGUAUGUGUUAAUAUGUAGAUGGUUGGAUAGCGCUAGUUCGUACUAACUUCUUAUGUUGCGUUAUAUCUAUAUGCAUCUGUUAUGUAUGUUAUUUUUCUCAAGUUGAUGAAAGUAGUAAAUGGAUGCCCCAUGUGAGACCUAUAGUUCUGUGAGAUGCCAAAGGAAUAAGAUGUUCUUCAUAGAUCUGUUGAAUGACUUCCUCACUAGGACGAUAUAUAUGUUUAGUUCAAGAUGUUCUGAUUGAUGAGUUUCAUAUGUGAUGUAUACGUUUGCAUCGAAAAUUGUCUAACUAGCUGGUCCUUUAUUUUAAUUUUGCUCAAAUCAUCCCUUCUAGGGCAAGGCGUGACUUCUUAGAGAAGUUUCGUGUUCCAGUAGAUGCCACCAUCACAAUCCAGUUCACCAUCAUGAAGAUGCUGACGGCCCAACAAUUCGAUUGUCUUUUCACCAACAAGGCAAACCGCACCUAUUUCGGUUGAUUUGGUUGAAUAGCCCUUGCAACUGCUUGCGAGAUGGAAGCUGAGAGAGAGCCACGUUCUACCUCGACUACGACCAUGAAGAGAUCAUGGUCUACUACAGGCUUGCUGUCAGCAACAAUGGUUCACUUACUCCGGACUAUGACCCUGACUCCGCCCGCCAAAAAGUCCUAGUUAGCUAGUUGGCAUGCAUGGAAUAUCUCAUGUUAUUAUCACCUCUAUUUGUUUGAACUUGUACAUUCAUGUGUGUUACUUUGCGUACUUUGUUGAACUAUAUCAAUAAGUGCAUUGUUGGAAUUAAAUGUUGUUAUUGGGUCUAUUUAUAGUUGAUUUAUUUACUGUUCUUAAACUGGAUUAUGCUGUCAUUUAGGUCGCGAUCGUCGUUGUAUAGCUUUUAUUUACUGGCGUCGCGACAACAUGGAACGCCAGAAUUGAUGAAUAUUAGUGUUGGCGUUGUCCACGUGGCACGUCAUUAUCAUCCAAAAUACUGUUGGCAAAGGGUACAACCCCAGCGCUAAUUUUAAACAAUGGCGCCAUAUUGAUGGCGUCGAGUGUCCAUGUGACCAAGGCUGUUGUUGGCACGCCAUAGCUAGGCUUUUCUCCAAUAGUGUGGCUACCAGGAAGGCCUCAAAGUUUAGAUCUAGCUUGGGGCAUCGCAUGCAGCUGUGGAGCGGCGCACCAUCGGCAUCUGAUGUGAUGUAGAGAGCGAUAGGGCCCUUUCGCUCUCUCCCGACCCACUAGGGUUCCUCCGCCGCCGUCGCCGCCCUAGCUAGCUCCUUCCCGCCGCCGUAGGCCACCGGGCGUGCGCCCCCAAUCUAGUACCACCCCCUCUUCCCCCUCCCCCAUCCCGCGACCCGCACCGUCCCGCGGCGGCCGGGCCGUGCCCCACGUCUCCCGCCCCUAGCCCCUCCUUCCCUCGUUCCUCCCGCCGUCGCCGGUGUGCUACGCCGGCCCUUGGCCAGGCGGCCUUGGUGGCGGCGGGCCGCUGGCCUUUCCCCUCCUGGUCUUGGCUGACGUGGGACAACCUUGGCCCAGGUGGUGCUCCUCGGCGGCGACGGUCUGGCGCGGCGGCGGGUCUUCCCUGAUGCAGCGCGGGUGGCCAAGGUGGUAGUGGAGCUGCCAUUGGUGGCUGGGCAGCGAUGGCGGUGCUCCGGCCCUCCAGGUCCAGAUCUGGGCCCUUCGGGCCCGAUGUGGGUCAGGGCAGGCCUGCCUCAUGGCCUCUGGUUGGCCUGGUGAGCGGCUCGCGACGGAGAUGGCAGCGAUGACACCACACUGUUGCAGCGUGGCGAUGGGAGCUUCAUAGGCCUGUAUGUGUCUGGCCGAGCUUAUGGGCUGUUAGAGGGUAGCGGCGGCGGUGGCCUACGUGCAGCAGCACGGCAGCGGGGACUUUACGAGCCUCCCAGGCUCGCCCGGGCCUUUUGCCUGGUGUGUCCCUGCUGCUGUUUCCGGUCGACACCCGACGACGUCCUCCAGGUGGCGACGUUGCUGCCGCCCUCCGGUUCCAAUGGCUCGGUGUGCUCUUGUCGUUGCAUCUGGACGGCUACCGUAUAUGAUGGUGGAGGUUGUUCCCUCCAGCGUGGUUGUGAUCCUAUCGGACCUUGUCUACGGCUGCUUCGUCUCGGGCUGACUGGCUUUGCUACGUUGGCCAUGGUGAGACGACGAUGGUGACUGCAAGGCCGUGGUGGCGUAUGUUGGUGGAUGGCAUGUUUGGUGGAGAGCCUAUGAUUGUUCGGGAGGUGGGAUUUUGGGGGUCGGGAGAAAUCCUUGUCAUUUUGACACCGACACGGUGACACUUGCUAGUGUCAUCCCUCCUUCCCGGAGGGCGUCGGGUGUACCUCUUCUCGACCCUCGGAGCGUACCGGGGGAAACCCUAGGACCUGUCCGGGCAGCAGUGUUGCCGUCAUCACUGUCCUUCUUGGAGGUGCUGCUUGGUACGCGAUGAAUCAGAGUGCUAGGAUCGCGGUGGGAAUACUUCGGAGAGGACGCAGCGGCUACGAGUCAUUUUCUGGUUGAUCCGCCGGUGUUGCCAUUGAAGGAAAUAUGCCCUAGAGGCAAUAAUAAAGUUAUUAUUUAUUUCCUUAUAUCAUGAUGAAUGUUUAUUAUUCAUGCUAGAAUUGUAUUAACCGGAAACAUGAUACAUGUGUGAAUACAUAGACAAACUAAGUGUCACUAGUGUGCCUCUACUUGACUAGCUCAUUAAUCAAAGAUGGUUAUGUUUCCUAACCAUAGACAUGUGUUCUCAUUUGAUUAACGGGAUCACAUCAUUAGGAGAAUGAUGUGAUUGACUUGACCCAUUCCGUUAGCCUAGCACUUGAUCCUUUAGUAUGUUGCUAUUGCUUUCUUCAUGACUUAUAUAAAGUUCCUACAACUAUGAGAUUAUGAAACUCCCGUUUACCGAAGGAACACUUUAUGUGCUACCAAACGUCACAACGUAACUGGGUGAUUAUAAAGGAGCUCUACAGGUGUCUCCAAACUUACAUGUUGAGUUGGCAUAUUUCGAGAUUAGGUUUUGUCACUCCGAUUGUCGGAGAGGUAUCUCUGCGCCCUCUCGGCAAUGCGCAUCACUAUAAGCCUUGCAAGCAAUGUAACUAAUGAGUUAGUUACGGAAUGAUGCAUUACGUAACGAGUAAAGAGACUUGCCGAUAACGAGAUUGAACUAGGUAUUGGAUACCGACGAUCGACUCUCGGGCAAGUAACAUACCGAUGACAAAGGGAACAACAUAUGUUGUUAUGCGAUUUGACCGAUAAAGAUCUUCGUAGAAUAUGUAGGAGCCAAUAUGAGCAUCCAGGUUCCGCUAUUGGUUAUUGACCGGAAACAGUUCUAGAUCAUGUCUACAUAGUUCUCGAACCCGUAGGGUCCGCACGCUUAACGUUACGAUGACAGUUUUAUUAUGAGUUUAUAACUUUUGAUGUACCGAAGGUUGUUCGGAGUCCCGGAUAUGAUCACGGACAUGACGAGGAGUCUCGAAAUGGUCGAGACAUAAAGAUUGAUAUAUUGGAAGCCUAUAUUUGGAUAUCGGAAUCGUUCCGGGUGAAAUCGGGAUUUUACCGGAGUACCGGGGGUUACCGGAACCCCCACGGGGGUUAAUGGGCCUACAUGGGCCCUAAGGGAGAAGAGGAGGGCCGGCCAGGGCAGGCCGCGCGCCCCCUCCCCCCUAGUCCGAAUAGGACAAGGAAGGGGGGGCCUUUCCUCUUUCCCCUUCCCCCUUUCCUUCUCCUACAAGGCAAGAGGGGGGAGUCCUACUCCCGGUGGGAGUAGGACUCCUCCAGGCACACCCCUAGGGGGCCGGCCGCACCUCCCCCUCCCCCCUUUAUAUACGGGGGCAGGGGGGCACCCCAAGACACACAAGUUGAUCUUCGUGAUCAUUCCUUAGCCGUGUGCGGUGCCCCCCUCCACCAUAUUUCACCUCGGUCAUAUCAUUGCGGUGCUUAGGCGAAGCCCUGCGUCGGUAGAACAUCAUCAUCGUCACCACGCCGUCGUGCUAACGGAACUCAUCCCCGACCCCCUGCUGGAUCGGAGUUCGGGGAUCGUCAUCGAGCUGAACGCGUGCUGAACUCGGAGGUGCCGUACAUUUGGUACUUGGAUCGGUCGGAUCGUGAAGACGUACGACUACAUCAACCGUGUUGUCAUAACGCUUCCGCUUUCGAUCUACGAGGGUACGUGGACAACACUCUCCCCUCUCGUUGCUAUGCAUCACCAUGAUCCUUUGCGUGUGUGUAGGAAUUUUUUUUUUGAAAUUACUACGUUCCCCAACAGGCAUUGUUUUCUUCGUCUUUUCUUUUGGGCGUAGUUGUGCUGUUUGCCCCAGCAAUGGAUCUCAUAUUGUACCGUGUGGUUACUAUAUUAAUAUAGCGGGACGAAAGCAUAUUUCGAGAUAUAGGGACCGUCAUCGAGUCAGUUUGUUAGGUCCACACCCGCUGUUGUCGUUCUCUCCUCCUCGCCUGGUGGAGGACCGCCUCUUCGUUUUGAAUCACCGUCAGCAUGCAAUGGGAGCCUGGUGCCAAUACCGCCAUCACCAGCCUCACCCGCCAGAGCGAGAGGGGUAGUGGUGAGGGAUUUGAAUGCCACCCACGUCAAUUGUUGUGCAGGAUUCGCUAAAUUCGCUUUGUCCAUAGCCCAAAGCAGCACUUCCAUCGGGUAUUUCAUCACUCCUCCACGUUCACUUCCUCUGCCACUGCCAUGGACAUCAGAUUCAGCUUGCUCUUGGUUGCGUAGCACGAGUGGAUUUCCCGAAAGCUCGCAAGCUUCCACGCAUCCCUGCUCGUAAUCAGCGCCAUCCUCUCCUCUAUUGCCUCCAUCAAGAUCCACGCAUGCACCACACUAGACCAGAAGGCCUCCUCGACCUGUGCUAGGUGACACAGAAAAUGUACCAUAAUGUAACCCUACGUAGGGAUGAAAAUAAAGUGGAAACUUUCCGCUUUUCCGCCGGAAAAAUGAAAACAGAGAAGAAAUGUGGAAACGGAAAUAGAAACUUGCAAAAUGUAAAUGGAAAUGAAAAUUUUUAUGCCGAAACGGAAAUAAAAAUGGAACGGUAAUUUCCAGUGGAACAGACGUGGAAACGCAACUUUCCGUUUUCGUGAAUAUGGAAUUUCUGUUUUUUACUAUAGGCCUAUGGCUGCUUUGUAGCCUUACCAUCAAACAACACACAACGACCAACUAAGCAGAAUGGAUCGUUUGAGGCUCAACUUCUACUACCACACACGUACUCAACUAGACCCUGCACACAAUUGUCCUAUACUACUACGAUACUAUGGUAAGUAGCUGACAUAAUCAUAUUAUUUUGUAGCCAUGAUAACAUAUCUUUAAAAUUGUGUGUAUUUUGCUAUGAUUCAAGGGGUUUUUAAGUUCCGGUAAACGACCAUUUAUGUUUCUGUGUCCGCUCUGUAUUUGCGCGAUGUUCAUUUCCGGUAGUAUCCGUUUCCGUAUUCAUUUUUGUGAUUUCUGUAUUUGUUUCCGUUUCUGUAAGAAACUAUGAAAACAAAUGUAGUAGCACCCAGUUCUGUCCGUUUUCGCUCCGUUUUCAUCCCUAACCCUACGCAACCGCUUUUCCUGCAUGACACACACGGUAAUCCACAACAUUGCCUUGGUCAUCGAGCAACACCAGUUGUUGAACCCCCGCUCAGCGGAGGAGGACUGCACGAGAAUAAACCAGCAGGUUGGCUGCACAAAGGUCAGGGAUGAAUCGCACCACCCAUCGAGAGUGUGGCGUCAUUUACUACUCCCUCCGUUCAUUUUUAUAAUUGUUUCAGAGAACUAAAAUUGAGCUAUUUUGCACAUUGUCCGAAGUUUCUACAACACCUUAUAAAAGUGAACAAAGGGAGCACUUGUUCUAUGUGAAUGAAUUUCAAAACCUGUUUCUUUCCAACUGGUUGGGAGUGCUAGCAAGGAUGGCGCAAGCGGUUGACGUGGCUAGAGUUGCUAGCUGGAGUAGUCCCUUCUGAAUGAUUUCAAAAGAUUGUACUUCUGCGUGCAUCAAUCGAUUCACACGCCGGGGGUAUCCUCAUUUUCAAUAAAAAUGCCUAAGAUGUCAAAAUUAGAAAGGAAAUGGAAAACAACAUUGCUUAAUCUAGAGUUUGCAUCCGUUUGGAUAAAGGAUUAAGACAGCAGAAUGAUCAUUGGUGAUGUUAACAUGAACUGAAAUUCUGAAACAGACCAAUAUCUAUCUUGACACACCGGAGAACAGCUCCUGAUUUUUUUCCCUUCAGAUUUAACAGUUUGAUCAUCUUUCGAAAAUUUUGCCUAAAGAAACAUAUUUUAAAAAAUGCAAUGGAUAAGUCAGCAAAAUUUCUAGGCUGACAGGAACAAGACACACAGUGACUAGUUUUUCGCCAAGGAAAGGAUAUCAAAAGACGGCGGCCUUUGUGUACAUAAUGUCAUAGUAAGUGUACCCCAUGAGAGUGCGUGCCAGUCUCUCUGGGCAGUGUUGGCCCAUGGUUCCCACUUCCACCAUAUCCCACUCGUCCCAGAUCUCAAAGAUUUUCUCACCGCGGCCAUCCUCGAGGCGAUGCAUGCAAAUCCCAUACCGUAGCAGUAGAUGCAGUUGCAUUCGAUGCCCGAGGGAUUAGACUGGUCAUAGUGGGAAGUAUCAUAUAUUAGUAUCAUGCAUAUGAUACUAGUGUAUAAUACUACAUUCAUAGUGCAUAAUAUUAUAGAUUAGUAUCAUAGAUGGUCUCAUUUAUUGCCAUGCAUGACACAUAGUAGCAUCACAUUUAUUAUGUUACGGUAUCUAUCUAUUUUACUAUAACUAUCUCUUUUUUUUUAAUAACCUGCCACAUAAGCAUGUUUGCGAGUCCCAAAAACAUGAUACUACUUAUGGCCAGCCUAAGGCCAACCUUAGGCCUCCUUUGGUUCAUAGGAUGGGAAUUUUACAGGAAUAGGAAAAUCAUAGGAAGUGAGAUGACAUGCAUCUCAAUUCCUAUAAAAAAAGAUGUCAUUUGAUGCAUAGGAUAGGGAUUUUUCCAUUAAGUUUAGGCUAAUGUUUUUUUCCUCCAAAAUGUGAAGGAUUGGUUCUUGUCCUACAUAGAAAUAGGAAUCCAUUCCUACAAACCAAUGGGCUUCAAAGGAAUUUUUCCUUUACAAAUCCUAUCCUGUAGAGUUCCUACAAAAUUCCUACAAACCAAACGAGGCCUUAGCGUCCACGGACAGACAACGCUGUUUGCCAAGAAAGAUGGCACGGCUUCCAAUGGUCUUGAUCUGCUCCAAAGUUCUAUUUUCGAUGUCCACCCUGAACACCUGCAUCAGUCCAAACGGAAAAUUCACAUGUCGCACAAGGAGCAGCUCUCCUACGUUGUCGACGAGGAAGGUGGGAGUCGUGAGACGGUUGUACUUCCAGGGGGCGCUCACGAUGGUGGUGACCGUGGGUUUCUGGUCGAGCCUGCAGUUGUGUUCAACUGCAACGACCGAUCCUCUCAUGUCGGCGUACGCUCGGCCUUUGAAGGCCACCAUGGCCCUGAGCUCCUCCACGGCCGGCUUGGCUUCAAACACUGCCUCUCGGUUGAAGGCAUCGUCCCAGGUCGGGUCGAUGCACCCGCCAUAGCUGAAACCAAAACGGCUGUAGAGCACCAUCGGUGAAGAGCCCGCCGCGGACAUCUCCCUAAUGCUCUGUGUGACACUGAGGAAUUGGACGGUAGUAACGGCCAAGCUUACAAGGUGGCCAGUGAAGGGGUUGAGGGUGAACAUCCACGACCCGGCCACCAGGACGAGGCGGCCGUCCUCCGAGAAGGCAACGCAGGUGAAGUUGCGGAGUAUCGGCAGGUCCUUCCACAGGAAGCGGCCAGCGUCGACAUGAAGGAACAGGCAGCGGGGAAUGCCGCCGUCGUUCCCGGCGAGCUUCUCGAUCAUGGCCCAUCGCCGAGGAUGGAAACGAUGGUCCAUGACACGCGGGUCGUCGGUGGAGACGCGCCAGUUGUGGCACACGGUGCGGAGGCUUAUGUAGUAGUCGAGGUCGUUGGUGGCGAGGAAGACGUCUGCGAUGCGCCUGACGAGGUCGGGGGGGAGCGACGACCAGUCCACCGUGCACGACAUAAUCGAUCGGUCGCACAAAACUCACUGGGGAAGACGAUGGUUGUGGCAACUCAGUCUUGUCGAUUACUACCUUUUUUAUCCUUUUUUUGCCAGUUCCACCCUUGAUGCAAUUGGGUCCGACUUUUUUUCACCUCGGUUGCUCCGCCAUCAACUCGCAACUAGGUUUUAUUUGGCUUUUUUCUCGCGAGUUUCCUUCAAAAGCAAAGUAACCCUGCCAUACAUUUUCAGUAGGUUUUUCCCCAAGAAGGCUCAGAUCUGGCGGUGUCAUUUUUUGUCUAUCUUGUUCUAUGCAACUAAUGCAAAAAAGGUUAGGUCACUACUCUAGAUCCUAGUUUUAUGACCCAAGAUCUGCCACUACUCCCGGCAACAAUCACGGAAAAUACAUGGAUGAAACCAGGCUAAUAUACACCCACUUCGAAAACACAUUUCUAAAUCCCGAAAAAAUCAAAAGCACCUUCUACGUGCGUGCAGAAAAGUUUUUGCGGGAAAACAACUAUUUUGUUGGCCUGCGCAAGAAAGAUAAAUAAAUGUGUCCUCAAACGCUAUUUAAAAUUGUUCAGUGGGUAUUGGUAAAAGGGUUCACUGUAUAUAUUAAAAGAAGUUCACCGUACAAGUUCAAGUUCAAUGUAUAUUAAAAAAGUUCAUGAUAUAUUAAAUAUUUGUUCAGUGGGUAUCUGAAAAAGUGUUUGUCGAUAUUUUAGAAUUUUUUCAUGUGUAUUUAAAAGAAAUGUCCUAGUACACAUCAUGUAGCAGGAGCAAACAUGACAUGCAAAACAAGAGCAAAUAUUUACAUGUAGAGCAGCAUGAGCAAAUAUUUCUUAGAACCAAAUCUAAACUAGCCUCAUACAUGUACUUGAGCUCAUCGGGGAAAAGAGCAACAUGAGAAGAUCCUAGUGGCAUCAUACAAUUCAAUCAAGCAGUAUAUCAACCACAAAUAGAAGAAGCCAGAGCAGAGCAUGCAUAACUUGGGGAGAUAAAACAGAGUCGAGAGGGAGGGGAUCGACAUUCCCUGCUGUGGUUGGGCAUCGGCACGGCCGUGGGGUCGUGUCCUGCUCAUCCUCCUCGACUAUUUCGUUUAUGGACAGCACCCACCUGCUCCAAUUGACCAAAAAGGAAAAAGGUUUAGAAUUAGAAAUUCAUCAUAUCAAAUAGAUUCAGACUCAAGAGCACCACUCAUCAUACCACAACCAUUUUUCGUCAAAUAAUAUAGCUGCCAAGCACUUCACACUCUAAAUGAUAAACUCCCAUCGAAUCCCUAGCUGACGACACGAUCGGCGAAUGCAGCCACCAUCACUGCCAUGAAGCCUAACGAAGAGUUCACUAGGCGGAUCACCGCCUAGAGCCGUCGCCCUAGCGUCAAUCAAAACCCAAACCUAGCAUCACCCCAAGCCCCAUUGGCGCCCCCACCUACCACCACCAGGACAGGGCAGAGGGAAGCAGGCUCGAACGGUAAAAGAACGAGCGGCGGAUGGAGCACGACCAACUAGAUCCAUGGCCUCCACACCAGCCCACAGUCGGGUGAGGGGGUCGCCGCCCCCCGACCGCGGUCACCUGAUAAGAGCAUCUCUAGCAGACCCCUUAAAAACACCAAACCUGUAAAAUUCCAACGAAUUUAUGGUUCCGGACCAAUUUUAUGUUCAGAACAGACCCCGUAAAAGUUCGGGGAACCGUAGACGUUUUACAGGCCAUCGAAAACGCAAGCCUCUGCCCUCUAGUUCUAUAGGUCCGAGGACAGUAUACAUGUCACGAACUGGAUCCUUCCGCCGCCAUCCGUACCACCUGUAUCCAGCCGUCGAUUUCUCUCUGCUCCAACAAAAUUCUGCACUGCAAAAGGAUCGAGCGCGUGCAUGCGGCCAUGGCUGAUCCCAUUCGUGCUCAACGCGAGGAAGAGGAACGGGAUGCGGCGCUCCGUGACACCGGCGGCUCCGUAUUUGACAGCUUGAAUCGAUUGGGCACGGUGACGGGAGCUAGCUAGCUAGCUAGCUUCUGAAUCGAUUGCCCACGGUGACGGGAGCUAGCUAGCUUCUGGGCCAAUUCAAGCGGUGACGGCGACGCUGGGCGCUUUGUGCGAGCCGUUCUGGACACCGGCGGCACCGUAUUUGGCCGCUUUGUGCUCUGUCCGCAGGUUUCGUAGGAGUGAGCUAGCUGCCCGUGAACACAGGCAAGAGGAAGAAGAAGACGUGGUGGAAAAUAUACACGAAUAUUCGGUAUUCCAGUCUAAGCUUAAAGGAUCUGCUCGGCCGCAGCUCAAACCAACUCUUAAAAUGUGUUUUUCGCGAAUUGAAAACCGCAUUUUCAGUUUUCUGAUUUAAGGUUCUGCUAGAGAUGCUCUGAUGGCAAUUGCCGCAACGCCCUUGGCUACAACCACCACCAGUGUCAAAGAUCUUGGUCACAUGACCUAGAUCUGGGCCAGGACGGGCCACCCUGGUUGGGGCGCCCCUAGGCCAAGGGUGGCAGGAUGCCAGCCCUCCAUGUAUCGUCAGCUGUAGUGUGGCUGCAGAAUGACGAUGGAGUUGCGGAGAUCCAAUGGUAACCUGUGCUAGUUUACGGGGAGGAUCCCGGCUGGGCGACUGGCGGCAGCGAAUGGAACUGUAGUAAGUCAAAUUAGGUGACUUGAAUUUGUCUAAAUAUGAAUGUAUCUAUAUUUGUUUAGUGUCUAGAUAAAUAUGGGUCAAUUAAUUUGGAACGGAGGGAGUAUGAUCUACAAACUUCCUUUUGUGCCUCGAACCUAUAAUUUGAACUAAAUUUGUGUGCUUAAAGAAAGUACGCAGCUCCUCUGUUCAUCUUUUCUUAAAUUUGCAUUUUGAUUGUAGUUAAGUUUCUACGGUACCAAAGCUUAAUACGAAUACAAUAGUGAGUACGAUCAUUUCAAAUUCAACAUUUUCCAGCACAGAGGUUAGUAUAAAAGUGAUGGAUGGUUUCGCCUCAUAAAGUCCAGCAUAUACAUAAAUCAAGCCUCAGUUGUUUUUACCUACAUGCAUGGACACUUGUAUGGUUCCACGGAUGCGGUAUAUCAUGGAUUCACGGUCAAGGUACACAAAGAAGCUACUCCGUUACUUUCUCCCACCGGCUGCAGCAUGUAUAUGCACUGCUAGCUACUCCCUCCGUUCCAAAUUACUUGUCUUCGAUUUGUCUAGAUACGGAUGUAUCUAGCACUAAAAUAAGUCUAGAUACAUCCGUAUCUAUACAAAUCUAAGACAAGUAAUUCAGAACGGAGGGAGUAGUAGUUACUAGACACCAUAUUACAGGUAUCCGACUAGAACUUGUGCAAGGCUCAAGGGCAGAAAUCGACUCGGCCGUUCCACGGGCUCGAAGAGUGUCUCGUCGCUGCCGUCCACAAGACGGUGCAUGCAAAUCCCGCCGUUCUGAGGACGAGGCACGCGGUCGACGUAGUAGACGCAGUUGCCUUCGAUGGCAGGAAGAUUGCCAGCAUCUACGGACAGACAACGAUUGCGGCCAAGGAAGAUAGCACGGUUUCCUAUACAUUUGAUCGCCUUGAGAAUUUUAUUCUCGAUGUCAACCCUGAAAACCUGCAGGCCGGAAAACAGAGAUCAACUCUAAUAAAUAGAUUUGGCUAGGGUUCCCCCGCUCCCCUCCCGCCGCCGCCGCCCCUCCCGCCGCCGCCGGCCGUCGGCCCCGCCCCCCGCCUCCGCCCCCCUUCCGCCCUACCCCUCCUCCGUCUAUACCNNNNNNNNNNNNNNNNNNNNNNNNNNNNNNNNNNNNNNNNNNNNNNNNNNNNNNNNNNNNNNNNNNNNNNNNNNNNNNNNNNNNNNNNNNNNNNNNNNNNNNNNNNNNNNNNNNNNNNNNNNNNNNNNNNNNNNNNNNNNNNNNNNNNNNNNNNNNNNNNNNNNNNNNNNNNNNNNNNNNNNNNNNNNNNNNNNNNNNNNNNNNNNNNNNNNNNNNNNNNNNNNNNNNNNNNNNNNNNNNNNNNNNNNNNNNNNNNNNNNNNNNNNNNNNNNNNNNNNNNNNNNNNNNNNNNNNNNNNNNNNNNNNNNNNNNNNNNNNNNNNNNNNNNNNNNNNNNNNNNNNNNNNNNNNNNNNNNNNNNNNNNNNNNNNNNNNNNNNNNNNNNNNNNNNNNNNNNNNNNNNNNNNNNNNNNNNNNNNNNNNNNNNNNNNNNNNNNNNNNNNNNNNNNNNNNNNNNNNNNNNNNNNNNNNNNNNNNNNNNNNNNNNNNNNNNNNNNNNNNNNNUCCUUGGCGGCGGGGCGGCGUGGUGGUGCCGGGUGGCCGUCGACGCGCCCCCGGCCCAGAUCCGGGCACGUCGGGCCCCAUCUGGGCCCCUGGGGGCCGGCCCCCCGGCAUGGUCUCGUUGUCUGCGGCGCGGUGAGGAGGAGGAGCGGCUCGGACUUGGGGCGUCGGCGCCGAUGGCGUGCCGGCAGCAGCGCGAAGGCGGGAGCUUUACGGGCCCACGAGGGCUCGGCCGGGCCUGUGGGCCUACGGGCCUGGUGUGCUCCUGCUAUCGCGUCCGGACGGCUACUGUCGCUGACGGUGGAGGUGGGGCCCUCCCGCGUGCCGAUGGUGCUAAUGCCCUAGUCCCGGCUCUCAUUCUUCGUCGUGCUGUCCUCACUUCGCGGUGCCGUGGUGAGACGGCGUGGAGGCCUCAUGACCGCGUUGGCGUAGGGUGGUGGUUGGUUUGGUGGCGGGAUCCGGAGCGCCCGAGGUGCGGGUUGGGAUCGGGGGAAACCCCUGUCGGCGGGGCCGACUCCGGCGCGGUGGCGCCUGUGGGUGCCGCCUGACCUUCCGGGAGGGCGUCGGGGGCUACUCUUCCUCUCGCCUCGUCGUGUACCGGGGAAACCCUUGGCAGCAGCAUCGUCAUUGUCGCGAUCCUUCUUGGAGGUGUUGAUUGGUGCCGACGCUUCGGAGUCUUGGAGCCUAGUGGAUGAGCCGGGUGGGCCUAGCGAUCGCGAGGCUUCUUCGUUUUUGUUGAUCCGCCGUUGUCGGCAUUUGUUUCUUUUGCUCUUUCUCUGUUGUUUCUUUUGGGCGUGACUGUGCUGCUUCCGCCCCAGCAUCUAUCCCUGUAUGCUUCGGUUGGUUGCUUUGUAUACAAAGCGGGGGGAAACCCUUUUUCGGUAAAACCUGCAGGCCGCCAUGGGACGACAGGAAGCGCACAAGGAGCAGCUCCCCGGCGUUUUCCACGAGGAACGUCGGCAGGAUCUCCUCCUCCCAGCAGCCGGCGAUGACGGUGGUGAUCAGCUCCAACUCCUCGUUUUGGCGCUGGCCUUUCACGACCACGACGGUUCCCUUGUCGUCGACGGCAUAUGCGCGGCCUUGAUAGGCCACCACGGAUCCGAACCCGUCGAGAUCUGGGUAAGCUGAGAACUUCGUCAUCCAGUCGAGAUCGCUAGUCGGGUCGACGCAGACGCCGUGAAACGGAUAGAAGAUGUAGAACAACAUCGGCGACGAGCCAGCUGCCACCAGUCGUGCGCCGAGGCAGUACAAGUACGGGGGUUUCUUGGAAAAACGGACGAGGUGGCCGGUGAAAGGGUUGAGGACGGCCAUCAUGUUGAGCCCAAAGGUCUCUUGCAGGACGAGGAGACCGUCCUCGGUGGAGGUGAUGUAGACGUACCCUCGGAGCAUGAGCACGUUCAUCCACAGGAAGCGGCCGGUGUCAGCGUGCAGCAAGAGGCAGCGGCCGGAGUCGCAGUUCAGGGCGUGUGACCGCAGCAUGAUCCAUCCUUGGGGGCGGAACCGCUUGUCCGGGCCGCGCGGGUCAUCGGUGGCGGCACGCCAGUUGUGGCACACGGCGCGGAGGCUCAUGUAGUAGUCGAGGUCGCUGGUGGCGAGGAAGACGUCCGCGAUGCUGUUGACGAGCUCGGAGGGUAGCGAUGACCAGUCCACCGGCGCCAUUGUUGCAGCGCCGUGGCGGUGCUAGUUUGAGCCUUUGGGGAACUGGGGAACGUACAGCCAUCGGCUGGAGGGGAAUAUAUGCAGGCGUGCCGCGCGUGGGCAAAGGAAUCUCGAAGGGUGCUGCCAUUGCAAUACGCUGACCGUCUGACGCUGUGUCUUCCGCGCCGCCGGCGUGGUGCGCGUUCGCACCAACGGCGCGCCUGGACUUGCUUUGGGACCCGGCGCACUCACGCGAGUUAAACUGCUUCGCUUCCCAAAGCGGCGGGCUCGUGUCAGACCAGACUAGCUAGAAGUCGCCCGUUGAGGUUCUCCACGCACCUCUGCCGCCCCGUACUGUAAACAACACACCGGCGCCUGCGCACGGUGACCAUGGCGUGGGCGGCCGACUGGUCAUCCCUCCCCUCUGAGCUCAUCAGCCGCGUCGCCGACGUCUUCCUCGCCACCAGCGACGUGGACUACUACGCGAGCCUCCGCGCUGUGUGCCGCAACUGGCGCGCCGCCACCGACGACCCGCGCGGGCCGCACCCCCGCUUGCGUCCCCAUCGCUGGGUGAUGCUCGACGAGCUCGACCGCAACGCCCGCUCCCGCCUCUUCCUCAACAUCGAAACCGGGCGCUUCCUACGGAGGGACAUCCCCGCGCUCUACUACUGCUUCUACGUCGCCGCCGCCGACGGCCUGCUCGUGCUGCUCGCGAGCAACAGCGAGACCAGGCUCUGCGUCCUCAACCCCAUCACCGGCUCCGUAGUCCGGUUCCACGCGACCGUCCACGUGCACCCCCGGGACAUUGGCUUGGCCGUGGCCGGCUCCUCGCCGAUGGUGCUCACCAUCUUCUCCAGCCCAAGCCACGGCGCGUGUUUCGAGCCCACCGUCCCCGGUGUCAACCCGUCGUCCCCGCCGGUGUUCACGGCCGCGCCAACCCUCGACAGCUUCGCCUCCGUGGUGGCGUUCCAAGGCCGCGUGUACGCCGCGGACCGUGCCGGAUCGGUCGCGGUUGUGGAGUACACUGGGCCUGACACGACGCCCGAGAUCACCAUCCUCGUCGCCGGCGACCGGCUGGCGAAUACUUACGCGUUCCUCGUUGACAGCGCCGGGGACGAGCUGUUGCUGGUACGCGCAACGUCGACGACCGCCACCGGCCGCAGCAUUCAGGACUUCAAAGUGAACCUCGGGACAAACUCUUUGGAGCCGGCCAGGACCAUCGGGAACCGCGCUCUCGUCCUCGGUGUCCAGUCCAUCUCCGUCGACGUUGGAAAUGUCCCCGGCUUGGAAGGGAACUGCGUCUAUUAUGGCAACAGCUUGUUCCGGCAGACGGGGAUCCGCGUCUACCGCAUCAACGACGGCAGUGAGGAGGUACUGGCCGCGCACCCCACGGACGAGGAGCGGCGUCGUGGGCAGGGCCGUGUGUUCCCCUUGCCCCUGGCCCAAAUUCUCGUGAUCUCCGCGUGGCCUUUCCGUGAUAGUGAUUUUGAAGGUUGGUGAAUUUCUUUGAACGAGGUUUCACAUUUCCUUAGGGAUCUUGAUGAAUUAUGCUGAUAUUUGAUUGAUUUUGAGAAAUAGUACCAAAAUGAACACAACAAUUCUUGAACAAACUACAAUGGCCGACCGGCCCAACCGUUCCUCGCGCGACGGUACUAGGGUAGCUGCAACUGCGGUGAACCGCCGGAGCUUCCAGUGGUGAACACAACCCAUCAGGGUUGCUGUAACCGCGAUGCCCACACACGCCGUUGCUGCAAUUGGCUAAGACGGAGCACAAUUGGCGGCAUGUUGUGUUCCAGCAAAUGGUCGUUAAUAACUUGAUUUGCUGGAAGGGCGGAACCAUGCGGGGCACCAGUGCUAUAACCAUGUGGGAGGCUAUGGGGGUGAGGUGGGGGGUGAUGAGGCGCUACAGGGGACAGCUGCCGGAGCAAGAAGAAGAGGCCGCGUGCGGGGCGUAGCUGCUGAAUCAUGCGGUCUUGGGCGUGCGUAUCAUGCGGUGCACGGUGAUCGUCUGAAAUUUAGGCCUGUCGUCUGGCGUGUAGUGUUGACCUAUUACUCCCAAACUUCAAACUAAGGCUGGUCAUAGUGGGGAGUAACUUAGACUAGUAACAUAUGCAUGUUACUAGUCUAUGUUACUACCUCUAUAGUGCAUUGUAUCAUAGAUUAGUAUCAUAGGUGGUCUCAUUUAGUGCCAUACAUGACACAUAGUAGCAUCACAUUUAUUAUGUUACGGUAUCUACCUAUGUUACUGUAACCAUCUCUCUCUUCUUUAAUUUCCUGCCACAUAAGCAUAUUUGCGAGUCCCAAGUGCAUGAUACUAUUUAUGUUACCCCCACUGUGGCUAGCCUAAGAUAUGUGAACACACUCUGUGAAUGAGGGGGGCGGGGGUGACUGAUGGGGGUAGCCUAGGUUGGGAUGACUCUUUUUUUUAGAAGGGUUGGGAUGACUGAUGGGGGUAGCCGAAGCUGAGGCAGUGGCGGACCUAGCCCACUGGCCCAGUGUGGGCCAGCAGUGCUACUGAACAUAUACAUUUAAUUUUUUUCUUUUAUUUUUACCUUUUCUCCUAUGGUAUAAAAGAGUUUUCCAAGUCUCGGGGUGGGCCAACCUCCGCCACUGGCUGAGGGUUGAUUCUAGCUAGCAUGUGCCCGACAUGUGUGAUGUUUUUUGCACACCAUUAACGACCAUUUUCCUUGUUACCUCAUUUACCUCUACAUGCACUGUAUCCUCUCCCCUUCCAAUUUUCGGAACCUAAAAUUUUUCUAAAGAUCCAUUGGAAGUCAACCUUGAAUUUCCUUGAACGUUGACAAAAAUUUGUUGGACUACUUAUAUGUUAGUUGAAAGUUUGAAAACAUUGGUUGAAAGCUUUAUUAUUACUAGCAUGUCGAUCAAAUUAACAAAAUCAUAUAAUUACGUGAAAGUUCUUUCUUGAAGAGGGAAAGCAGGAGGUGGUUGCUGGCUCCGACACCGCCUUUUUGGGUUGUUGGAAAGUAAUCACUUGUCUUCUCCAACCAUCUCUUAUCUUUUUCUUUUUGUGAAUGCCAACCAUCUCCAUAGGAGGUUCGAAACUCUCAUGUUUUCAAUGUAAAUUAAGACAAACUCGUGUAUGAAACACAAGAAAGAAAGAGUAAAGCGUUUGUACGGAGCUAUGCUCCUUGAUGUCGGCGGCUUGGGAUCUUUAAAUUUAAGGGAGAAUUCCUUAUUUAACAUUGGCAUAAUUCUUUUGCCAUGUUUGACAUGGGAAAACUUUUUCUUCCUUAUCUAACAACAAUGCUAGAAUUUAUUCCCGUUGUGACACUUCCAUCUAUUUUAAGUACUAAUGGUUUUAAGGGGGUGUUUGGGUCAGGGACUUUUUAGUCCCAAAGACUAGAAAAAGUCCCUAAGAAGUCCCUAGGAACCAAACGGGAGGGACUUUUUCUACAGGGACUAGAAAAAGACUCUACUGGAGAGUCUUUUUUGAUUAGUCCCUGGGACUAGAAAAGUCCUAGGACUUCUGAACCAAACACCCCCUAAAUGACACAUGAAAAGAUGAUUUUACCCCUGAUGCAACUUGUGACCAAAAUUAUUCACAUGAGAAGCAAUAACUUUUUCCUGUUGUUAAUUGCAAAAUUGGGCAGAACCUCCCCUGUAAACAUGCAAAAAAUACAUAUCUCCACACACAAGUAUUUCAAAUUUUAAUUCAAAAAUUGGGCAGAACCUCCCCUAUAAUUGAUGCCAUAUCCUCUUGACACAAUUCAGAUAUACAUAAUUCAACACACAAUUUUCAAAUUUGCCAAUGGCAUGAAACAUAAACAUCCGGGCUCAUAUCCAACUACACAUAUAUGACUUACAAUAAAUCCAGGUUCACAUAUAUGAGUUCAAGUCCACACAUACAUCAUAUUAGCAACCCAAAAGUGUCUCACAUCAUAUCUAGGUUCACAUAGAUAGUGCAAGUCCAUACAUAUAUGCAUGACAUGAGUAGCACAGAAGUGACUUUAGGUUCACAUACACGAGUCCAAGUCCACACAACAUGACAUGAGCAGCAACAAAAGUGACUUUAAGUGACAGAAAUUAGAUGAAGUUCACGAACCGAGCCUUCUUUUGCUUCUUGUGCUCAUUGCAGGGAUGGCUAGGUAGGAUUUUUUGCUUCUAGUGCCCAUUGCAGGGCUGUCAAAAGGCACCUUAGGACCAUUUUGAUCCUUUUUAAUAAGCUCCAUCUUCCUUGUAGCCCUUAAAAUAACAAUAUGUUGUCAAAUUGCAGUGCAUGUAUGGCAGCAGUACGUAUGGAUAAUAUUUGAUACAUGUAUGGCAACAAACAACAACAUUAACUAUGCAUAAUAUGUGAUAUUAAAAUUAAGAAUUAGGAAAGUUCACCUUUUCCUCCCUUUUGCAUUUCUCUUGUUUGUAGUAUCAUCCUCAUGUUCUAUAUUGUUGUCAGGUUCGCUAUCACUGUGCCACUCGAUAAUAGGCUCAUACGGUUCAGAGGGAUCACAAUAUGCAAUGAUCAUAUGCAGCACCUUUGUCUCUGAGUGUUUUUCAAACAUAAGCAUCAAAUCUUGGUCAGAAUUUACUUUUGGACAUGUUUUAAGAUCACCAUCAUAAUACUGCACAUGUGCAACUUCCAUAUAACGCGGCGGGUACUGCUUUACAAUUGAUUCAACCAAAGCCUUAUAAUUUGUCAAGUCACAAUCGAUGAUCUUUUCAAAACAAAAACAUCGUAUGUCCUUCCGAGCUUUUUUUGGAUUGCCGAACAAUUUAAUUCUAAGCAAAUAACUUGAAUUUGGAUCCAUCCUGUGAAUUAAGAAGACAAUUUUGCAUCAGACCUAUGCAUGAGUAUUGCAAGCUUUAGCCUCAAUUACACAGCUACACAAACUAGCACAGACCUAUGCAUGAUAAUUGCUACUGGAUGGAAUGUAUUGCUACUAACAUUGCAUUCAAAUGAGGAAAAUACAAACAGAGUAGUUGCAUUCACUUGGACUCCUACGAAUGACACUUACCCAUCUGGACACGCGCAUGUAGCCGAGGACAAACGAGCCGCGCUCUGGUCUGAAGCACGUGCCGAGGCCGGCCUAGCAGUACCCUGGCCGGAGUCUUUAGCCACGCCGGCCGCAGAGCACCCAACCACUUCCGCGCCUUGACCCAGGCCCGCUGCAGUCGAGCGACUGCCACCUGCGAAAGAUAUCUCGUCGGCACCCUCAAUCGCACCCUCAACCGACCCCUCCUCAGACGCAGCCCCGCCAUCGCCAUUGGCCACCAGCGCUGGAUCCACAGCGGCGCCCAGGCCUGACCCGUCCGCUGCACCCUGGUCGUCUUCCUUGGAGUUGUCUCCCUCUGCGGCAACGCCCCCAUCCAUAGCCCUAAGCCGCCGCUGCCGCUAGGGUUCGCCGCCGCCGCGCUAGGUUGGACAGAACGGAGAAAGGAGCACAAAUCACGGGGUCAGGACUCGGGGGAGAGAUUGAGGCCGGUUUGGGCUUUGUUUUCUUGGUUCUCCUGCUUAUUAUGGACAGGGGCAAUUUCGUACAACUAGAAAAAAAUGACAUCGGUGAAUGUAGACUUUAAAGGCUUCUCCUAACAGAACCGACGGGUGUGUUAGGAAGGGAAAAAAUAAGGAAGGAAUUUUUAUGCAUUGUUAAAAUAGGGAACCAACAUUUAAAACGGUGUUAUAUAAGGAAUUUUCUCAUCUUUUAACCACAAUGUUCUGAAUAGCGGCCAAAAAAUGACGAUCGGGCUGCGGUGCCGAGGAGAACAAAGUAAAAAAAACAGUGUGGCCCCAUCGGAAACGGUAUGGUUCGUGGGAGGAAUAACUGAUGUAGAACCUUCCCACACGAUUCAGAGAGCAUUGAAGACAAAUGGGAGCUUCACCACCACAUCAUUGGAAGGAAGUGAAAUCCUUGCUAAUACUAAGGUGUAGUAGCAAAAAAGAUUAACUAGAACUCACAUGUUUGUGUCAUGUUAAACAAAGAAAGAAUCAUAAUUACAAUACAUAUAUAAGUGAAGAACUAUGUUCUCCAAAGCAUUUGAAAGGGAAAAACUAAUCUUAGCUUGUCUCACUUGACAUGCAUACACAUUGGGGGCAAUACUUAAUCACCAUAGAUGCAAUUAGCUUAUAUAGCUCAACAAACCAAUUGAAUACAUAAGUCAUAGGUGAGAAAAGCUUCGGCGUACCAUGCCUUCAGGUCGCAUGCGACCAGCUCAUAAUGUGAUACUAGAAUGUGUGAACAAUGUACAUUCGAAGAUUCAAUCCAUUAGUGCGUACAUGUGCGAUAACUCCUGGUCAGGUAGCUUCUUAUGUAUACACAAUCUAGGCAAUAUAAUGGUGCAGAAUAGCUUAUUCUACACUCCUGCCAUAUACAAAAUCUAGUAAACGGUGUACAAAAUGUAGUAAUUCUGAAAAUAGUUUUUUUACUAUCCAAGUUUGUAAUUUACUACACAUUUUCAAAAUACUAUGUUUUGUAUACUAUGUUACUAUAUUUUGUAUGUAGCAUUACUAUGACAGAUUUGGUAGGAUCGGACAUGAUAACUGCGUUAGGUAUGAAGAAUUUUGAAUCAGUGUAUCUAAUAUUAUACAGGGCCGUGCCCAUGAAAUUGGAACCCCGGUGCGAAAUCUCAAGUUAGGCCAUAGCUAUAUAUAAGAGUAAAAGCAAUGGAAAUUAAGGAGCUACAUUGAUGCUUAUUGGUUUUAAUUUUCGCUCAGAUCUAUGGCUUGCAAUAGAAACAAGUCAUGAUACUCUUAACUGCCGACCUACCUUUCUGUUAAAGGUGCUACAUUUCUAGUCUUAGUUACUAAUGUUAGGGAACGUAGUAAUUUCAAAAAAAAUUCUACGCACACGCAAGAUCAUGGUGAUGAUAUAGCAACGAGAGGGGAGAGUAUAGUCCACGUACCCUCGUAGACUGUAAGCGGAAGCGUUAGAACAACGCGGUUGAUGUAGUCGUACGUAUUCACGGCCCGACCGAUCAAGCACCGAAACUACGGCACCUCCGAGUUCUAGCACACGUUCAGCUCGAUGACGUCCCUCGAACUCCGAUCCAGCUGAGUGUCGAGGGAGAGUUCCGUCAGCACGACGGCGUGGUGAUGAUCUUGAUGUACUACCGACGCAGGGCUUCGCCUAAGCACCGCAACGAUAUUAUCGAGGUGGAUUAUGGUGGAGGAGGGCACCGCACACGGCUAAGAGAUCCAAGGGAUCAAUUGUUGUUGUCUAGAGGUGCCCCCCUGCCCCCGUAUAUAAAGGAGCAAGGGGGGAGGGGGCGGCCGGCCUAGUAGGGGCGCACCAAGGGGAGUCCUACUCCCACCAGGAGUAGGACUCCCUCCUUCCUUGUUGGAGUAGGAGAAGGGGGAAAGAGGGGAAGAGGAGGAAGGAAAAGGGGGCCGCACCCCUUGUCCAAUUCGGACUAGAGGGGGGCUGCGCGCCUCCUUCCUUUCGGCCUCUCUCCUCUAUUCCCGUAUGGCCCAAUAAGGCCCAUAUACUCCCCGGCGAAUUCCCGUAACUCUCCGGUACUCCGAAAAAUACCCAAAUCACUCGGAACCUUUCCGAACUCCGAAUAUAGUCGUCCAAUAUAUCGAUCUUUACGUCUCGACCAUUUCGAGACUCCUCGUCAUGUCCCCAAUCUCAUCCGGGACUCCGAACUCCUUCGGUACAUCAAAACUCAUAAACUCAUAAUAUAACUGUCAUCGAAACCUUAAGCGUGCGGACCCUACGGGUUCGAGAACAAUGUAGACAUGACCUAGAACUAUUCUCGGUCAAUAACCAAUAGCGGAACCUGGAUGCUCAUAUUGGCUUCCACAUAUUCUACGAAGAUCUUUAUCGGUCAAACCGCAUAACAACAUAUGUUGUUCCCUUUGUCAUCGGUAUGUUACUUGCCCGAGAUUCGAUCGUCGGUAUCCAAUACCUAGUUCAAUCUCGUUACCGACAAGUCUCUUUACUCGUUAUGUAAUGCAUCAUCCCGUAACCAACUCAUUGGUCACUUUGCUUGCAAGGCUUAUAAUGAUGUGCAUUACCGAGAGGGCCCAGAGAUACCCCUCCGACAAUCGGAGUGACAAAACCUAAUCUCGAAAUACGCCAACUCAACAUGUACCUUCGGAGACACCUGUAGUACUCCUUUAUAAUCACCCAGUUACGUUGUGACGUUUGGUAGUACCCAAAGUGUUCCUCCGGUAAACGGGAGUUGCAUAAUCUCAUAGUUACAGGAACAUGUAUAAGUCAUGAAGAAAGCAAUAGCAACAUACUAAACGAUCAAGUGCUAAGCUAACGGAAUGGGUCAAGUCAAUCACAUCAUUCUCCUAAUGAUGUGAUCCCGUUAAUCAAAUGACAACUCUUUUGUCCAUGGCUAGGAAACAUAACCAUCUCUGAUAAACGAGCUAGUCAAGUAGAGGCAUACUAGUGACACUAUGUUUGUCUAUGUAUUCACACAUGUAUUAUGUUUCCGGUUAAUACAAUUCUAGCAUGAAUAAUAAACAUUUAUCAUGAAAUAAGGAAAUAAAUAAUAACUUUAUUAUUGCCUCUAGGGCAUAUUUCCUUCAGUCUCCCACUUGCACUAGAGUCAAUAAUCUAGUUCACAUCGCCAUGUGAUUUAACACCAAUAUUCAUAUCUGUAUAUGAUUAACACCCAUAGUUCACAUCAUCAUGUGACCAACACCCAAAGGGUUUACUAGAGUCAAUAAUCUAGUUCACAUCGCUAUGUGAUUAACACUCAAAGAGUACUAAGGUGUGAUCAUGUUUUGCUCGUGAGAGAAGCUUAGUCAACGGGUCUGUCACAUUCAGAGCCGUAUGUAUUUUGCAAAUAUUCUAUGUCUACAAUGCUCUGCACGGAGCUACUCUAGCUAAUCGCUCCCACUUUCAAUAUGUAUCCAGAUUGAGACUUAGAGUCAUCUGGAUCGGUGUGAAAACUUGCACCGAGGUAACUUUUACGACAGGCUCUUUUAUCACCUCCAUAAUCGAGAAAUAUUUCCUUAGUCCUCACUAAGGAUAUUCUUGACCAAUGUCCAGUGAUCUACUCCUAGAUCACUAUUGUACUCCCUUGUCAAAUACAGAGCAAGGUAUACAAUAGGUCUGGUACAUAGCAUAGCAUACUUUAUAGAACCUAUGACUGAGGCAUAGGGAAUGACUUUUCAUUCUCUUUCUAUUUUCUGCUGUGGUCGGGAUUUGAGUCUUACUCAAUUUCAUACCUUUGCAACACAGGCAAGAACUCUUUCUUUGACUGUUCCAUUUUGAACUACUUCAAAAUCUUGUCAAGGUAUGUACUCAUUGAAAAUCUUAUCAAGCGUCUUGAUCUAUUUCAAUAGAUCUUGAUGCUCAACAUGUAAGUAGCUUUACUGAGGUCUUUCUUCGAAAAACUCCUUUCAAAUACUCCUUUAUGCUUUGCAGAAUAAUUCUACAUUACUUCCGAUCAACAAUAUGUCAUUCACAUAUACUUAUCAGAAAUGUUGUAGUGCUCCCACUCACUUUCUUGUAAAUACAGGCUUCACCGCAAGUCUGUAUAAAACUAUAUGCUUUGAUCAACUUAUCAAAGCGUAUAUUCCAACUCCGAGAUGCUUGCACUAGUCCAUAGAUGCACAUUUUGUUAACACCUUUAGGAUCGACAAAACCUCUUGGUUGCAUCACAUACAACUGUUCUUUAAUAACUCCAUUAAGGAAUGCAGUUUUGUUUAUCCAUUUGCCAGAUUUCAUAAAAUCCGGCAAUUGCUAACAUGAUUCGGAUAGACUUAGCAUCGAUACGAGUGAGAAAAUCUCAUCGUAUUCAACCCCUUGAACUUGUUGAAAACCUUUUGCAACAAGUCGAGCUUAGUGGAUAGUAACACUACUAUCAGUGUCCGUCUUCCUCUUGAAGAUCCAUUUAUUUAACAUGGCUUGCUGAUCAUCGAGCAAGUCAAUCAAAGUCCAUACUUUGUUCUCAUACAUGGAUCAUAUCUCAGAUUUUAUGGCCUCAAGCCAUUUCGCGGAAUCUGGGCUCAUCAUCGCUUCCUCAUAGUUCGUAGGUUCAUCAUGGUCUAGUAACAUGACUUUCAGAACAGGAUUACUGUACCACUCUGGUGCGGACCGUACUCUGGAAGACCUACGAGGUUCUGUAGUAACUUGAUCUGAAGUUUCAUGAUCAUCAUCAUUAGCUUCCUCACUAAUUGGUAUAGGAAUCACUGGAACUGAUUUCUGUGAUGAACUACUUUCCAAUUCGGGAGAAGGUACAAAUUACCUUAUCAAGCUCUUACUUUCCUCCCACUCACUUCUUUCGAGAGAAACUCCUUCUCUAGAAAGGAUCCGUUUUUAGCAACGAAUAUCUUGCCUUCGGAUCUGUGAUAGAAGGUGGACCCAACAAUUUCCUUUGGGUAUUCUAUGAAGACGCCUUUCUCCGAUUUGGGUUUGAGCUUAUCAGGAUGAAACUUUUUUUACAUAAGCAUCGCAGCCCCAAGCUUUAAGAAACGACAGCUUAGGUUUACUGCUAAACCAUAGUUCAUACGGUGUCGUCUCAACGGAUUUAGAUGGUGCCCUAUUAAAUGUGAAUGCAGUUGUCUCUAAUGCAUAACCCCAAAACGAUAGUGGUAAACUAAUAAGAGAUAUCAUAGAUCGCACCAUAUUUAGUAAAGUACGAUUACGACAUUCGGACACACCAUUACAUUGUGGUGUUCCAGGUGGCGUGAGUUUGUGAAACUAUUCCACAUUGUUUUAAUUGAAGACCAAACACGUAACUCAAACAUUUGUCUCCGCGAUCAAAUCACAGAAACUUUAUUUUCUUGUUACGAUGAUUCUCCACUUCACUCUGAAAUUCUUUGAACCUUUCAACUAUUUCAGACUUAUGUUUCAUCAAGUAGAUAUACCCAUAUCUACUCAAAUCAUCUUGUGAAGGUCAGAAAAUAACGAUACUUGCCACGAGCAUCAACACUCAUUGGAUCGUAUACAUCGGUAUGUAUUAUUUCCAAUAAGUCAGUAGCUUGUUCCAUUGUUCUGGAGAACGGAGUUUUAGUCAUCUUGCCCAAAAGGCACGGUUCGCAAGCAUCAAAUGAUUCAUAACCAAGUGAUUCCGAAAAUCCAUCUUUAUGGAGUUUUUUCAUGCGCUUUACACCGAUAUGACCCAAACGGCAGUGCCACAAAUAAGUUGCACUAUCAUUAUUAACUUUGCAUCUUUUGGUAUCAAUAUUGUGAAUAUGUGUAUCACUACGAUCGAGAUCCAAUAAACUAUUUUCAUUAGGUGUAUGACCAUUGAAGGUCUUAUUCAUGUAAACAGAAUAACAAUUUAUUCUCUAACUUUAAAUGAAUAACCGUAUCGCAAUAAACAUGAUCAAAUCAUAUUCAUGCUUAACGCAAACGCCAAAUAACAUUUAUUUAGGUUUAACACUAAUCCCAAAAGUAUAGGGAGUGUGCGAUGAUGAUCAUAUCAAUCUUGGAACUACUUCCAACACUCAUCGUCACUUCCCCUUCAACUAGUCUUUGUUUAUUCUGUAACUCCUGUUUCGAGUUACUAAUCUUAGCAACCGAACAAGUAUCAAAUACUCAGGGGCUACUACAAACACUAGUAAGGCACACAUCAAUAAUCUGUAUAUCAAAUAUACCCUUGUUCACUUUGCCAUCCUUCUUAUCCACCAAAUAUUCAGGGCAUUUCCGCUUCCAGUGACCAUUUCCUUUGCAGUGUAAGCACUCAGUUUCAGGCUUUGGUCCAACUUUGGGCUUCUUCGUGGAAGUGACAACUUGCUUGUCAUUCUACUUGAAGUUCCCCUUUCUUUCCCUUUGCCCUUUUCUUGAAACUAGUGAUCUUGUCAACCAUCAACACUUGAUGCUCUUUCUUGAUUCCUACCUUCGUCGAUUUCAACAUCACGAAGAGCUCGGGAAUUGUUUUCGUCAUCCCUUGCAUACUAUAGUUCAUCACAAAGUUCUACUAACUUGGUGAUGGUGACUAGAGAACUCUGUCAAUCACUAUCUUAUCUGGAAGAUUAACUCCCACUUGAUUCAAGCGAUUGAAGUACCCAAACAAUCUGAGCACAUGCUCACUAGUUGAGCGAUUCUCCUCCAUCUUUUAGCUAUAGAAUUUGUUGGAGACUUCAUAUCUCUCAACUCGGGUAUUUGCUUCAAAUAUUAACUUCAACUCCUGGAACAUCUUAUAUGGUCCAUGACGUUCAAAAACGUCUUUGAAGUCCCGAUUCUAAGCCGUUAAGCAUGGUGCACUAAACUAUCAAGUAGUCAUCAUAUUGAGCUAGCCAAUCGUUCAUAACAUUUGUAUCUGCUCCUGCAAUAGGUCUGUCACCUAGCGGUGCAUUAAGGACAUAAUUCUUCUGUGCAGCAAUGAGGAUAAACCUCAGAUCACGGAUCCAAUCCGCAUCAUUGCUACUAACAUCUUUCAACACAAUUUUCUCUAGGAACAUAUCAAAAUAAACAUAUGAAAGCAACAACGCGAGCUAUUGAUCUACAACAAACAUUGACAAGCAAGAUACUAUCAGGUACUAAGUUCAUGAUAAAUUUAAGUUCAAUUAAUCAUAUUACUUAAGAACUCCCACUUAGACAGACAUCUCUCUAGUCAUCUAAGUGAUCACGUGAUCCAAAUCAACCAAACCAUGUCCGAUCAUCACGUGAGAUGGAGUAGUUUCAAUGGUGAACAUCGCUAUGUUGAUCAUAUCUACUAUAUGAUUCACGCUCGACCUUUCGGUCUCCGUGUUCCGAGGCCAUAUCUGUAUAUGCUAGGCUCGUCAAGUAUAACCUGAGUAUUCCGCGUGUGCAACUGUUUUGCACCCGUUGUAUUUGAACGUAGAGCCUAUCACACCCGAUCAUCACGUGGUGUCUCAGCACGAAGAACUUUCACAACGGUGCAUACUCAGGGAGAAUAUUUCUUGAUAAUUAGUGAGAGAUCAUCUUAAAAUGCUACCGUCAAUCAAAGCAAGAUAAGAUGCAUAAAGGAUAAACAUCACAUGCAAUCAAUAUAAGUGAUAUGAUAUGGCCAUCAUCAUCUUGUGCUUGUGAUCUCCAUCUUCGAAGCACCGUCAUGAUCACCAUCGUCACCGGCGCGACACCUUGAUCUCCAUCGUAGCAUCGUUGUCGUUACGCCAUCUAUUGUUUCUACGACUAUCGCUACCGCUUAGUGAUAAAGUAAAGCAAUUACAGGGCGUUUGCAUUUCAUACAAUAAAGCGACAACCAUAUGGCUCCUGCCAGUUGCCGAUAACUUUGGUUACAAAACAUGAUCAUCUCAUACAAUAAAAUAUAGCAUCACGUCUUGACCAUAUCACAUCACAACAUGCCUUGCAAAAACAAGUUAGACGUCCUCUACUUUGUUGUUGCAAAUUUUAUGUGGCUGCUACGGGCUUAGCAAGAACCGUUCUUACCUACGCAUCAAAAAAACCACAACGAUAGUUCGUCAAGUUGGUGCUGUUUUAACCUUCGCAAGGACCGGGCGUAGCCACACUCGAUUCAGCUAAAGUGAGAGAGAUAGACACCCGCCAGUCACCUUUAAGCACAAGUGCUCGUAACGGUGAAACCAGUCUCGCGUAAGCGUACGCGUAAUGUCGGUCCGGGCCGCUUCAUCUCACAAUACCGCCGAACCAAAGUAUGACAUGCUGGUAAGCAGUAUGACUUGUAUCGCCCACAACUCACUUGUGUUCUACUCAUGCAUAUAACAUCAACGCAUAAAACCUAGGCUCGGAUGCCACUAUUGGGGAAUGUAGUAAUUUCAAAAAAAUUCCUACGCACACGCAAGAUCAUGGUGAUGAUAUAGCAACGAGAGGGGAGAGUAUAGUCCACGCACCCUCGUAGACCGUAAGCGGAAGCGUUAGAACAACGCGGUUGAUGUAGUCGUACGUCUUCACGGCCCGACCGAUCAAGCACCGAAACUACGGCACCUCCGAGUUCUAGCACACGUUCAGCUCGAUGACGUCCCUCGAACUCCGAUCCAGCCGAGUGUUGAGGGAGAGUUCCGUCAGCACGACGGCAUGGUGACGAUCUUGAUGUACUACCGAUGCAGGGCUUCGCCUAAGCACCGCAACGAUAUUAUCGAGGUGGAUUAUGGUGGAGGGGGGCACCGCACACGGCUAAGAGAUCCAAAGGAUCAAUUGUUGUUGUCUAGAGGUGCCCCCCUGCCCCCAUAUAUAAAGGAGCAAGGGGGGAGGGGGCGGCCGUCCUAGUAGGGGCGCGCCAAGGGGAGUCCUACUCCCACCGGGAGUAGGACUCCCUCCUUCCUUGUUGGAGUAGGAGAAGGGGGAAAGAGGGGGAGAGGAGGAAGGAAAAGGGGGCCGCACCCCUUGUCCAAUUCGGACUAGAGAGGGGCUGCGCGCCUCCUUCCUUUCGGCCUCUCUCCUCUAUUCCCGUAUGGCCCAAUAAGGCCCAUAUACUCCCCGGCGAAUUCCCGUAACUCUCCGGUACUCCGAAAAGUACCCGAAUCACUCGGAACCUUUCCGAACUCCGAAUAUAGUCGUCCAAUAUAUCGAUCUUUACGUCUCGACCAUUUCGAGACUCCUCGUCAUGUCCCCGAUCUCAUCCGGGACUCCGAACUCCUUCGGUACAUCAAAACUCAUAAACUCAUAAUAUAACUGUCAUCGAAACCUUAAGCGUGCGGACCCUACGGGUUCGAGAACAAUGUAGACAUGACCUAGAACUAUUCUCGGUCAAUAACCAAUAGCGGAACCUGGAUGCUCAUAUUGGCUCCCACAUAUUCUACGAAGAUCUUUAUCGGUCAAACCGCAUAACAAUAUACGUUGUUCCCUUUGUCAUCGGUAUGUUACUUGCCCGAGAUUCGAUCGUCGGUAUCCAAUACCUAGUUCAAUCUCGUUACCAACAAGUCUCUUUACUCGUUAUGUAAUGCAUCAUCCCGUAACCAACUCAUUGGUCACUUUGCUUGCAAGGCUUAUAAUGAUGUGCAUUACCGAGAGGGCCCAGAGAUACCUCUCCGACAAUCGGAGUGACAAAACCUAAUCUCGAAAUACGCCAACUCAACAUGUACCUUCGGAGACACCUGUAGUACUCCUUUAUAAUCACCCAGUUACGUUGUGACGUUUGGUAGUACCCAAAGUGUUCCUCCGGUAAACGGGAGUUGCAUAAUCUCAUAGUUACAGGAACAUGUAUAAGUCAUGAAGAAAGCAAUAGCAACAUACUAAACGAUCAAGUGCUAAGCUAACGGAAUGGGUCAAGUCAAUCACAUCAUUCUCCUAAUGAUGUGAUCCCGUUAAUCAAAUGACAACUCUUUUGUCCAUGGCUAGGAAACAUAACCAUCUCUGAUAAACGAGCUAGUCAAGUAGAGGCAUACUAGUGACACUAUGUUUGUCUAUGUAUUCACACAUGUAUUAUGUUUCCGGUUAAUACAAUUCUAGCAUGAAUAAUAAACAUUUAUCAUGAAAUAAGGAAAUAAAUAAUAACUUUAUUAUUGCCUCUAGGGCAUAUUUCCUUCAACUAAUUCUUCAAUUAUAUAUGCUCAUUGGUUUCUUUUCUGGAAUAUCAUAUAUAAUUUCCAGUUACUAUGUGUAGCCAAUUCACAACUCUGUAUAAGAAUAUUGUAUGAGAAUAUUCAUAUUUUGAGCAUUUUAAUUUCUUGCAUACUUCUAAUGAUUACACAAAUCAGUUUUUAUGCACCCACUCAUUGGAUUUCAUUAGAUUUUUUAAAGGUGUACACCUUUACCACAUGGAUGAUGAAGUUUAUUUUACAUGGAAAAUGGAGCAAGUUUGUGCUUGUUUUUUUGCUUAUUUGCUCUGCAUUGUCCUCUUUGUUAAGAAAUAAAUAGAAGAGAAAGUAGUAUGUGCUUUUCUAAACAUCUAUACUACUGAAGCACCUUUUCGGUGAGAUUUAAUAUAGCUGUAUUUGUACUACUUUUUGACGAGGGAUAUAACAUGAGAGCUCCAGUGUUGAAACUUUUCAAAGAGACAAAAGUUAACAUUUACAAGCAAACUCUGCUUUUCUACCAUAUUUUGUACGCACACCUUAAAUCCUUAAUAUGUACUUUUCUUCUUAAAACAGGUUCUUUGCAAAAUCAGUUUUGUUGUCUUCUGUUUCAUGUGAUGCGAGAUAAUAUUUUGUUGCAGUGUUGAUCAUAUUUUACCUUUUCCUUUUUGUUUGGAGAAAGAUGUCUCCCUUUCUUACAAAUAUGUUAUUUCUUAAAUAGAACAAUAGUCACCAUACAAGGUUCUUCCACCAAAAAAUGUUUUUAUGUGUGCAGCUAAGAUUGAUUUCUUGCUGAUUGGUUGUUCAAUCUUAUUCUGCAGAACCCGCAUGAGAGACAAGAAACACAAGGUCCAUUAUGAGGUGAGGGUUCUACUGCCCCAUUUUUCAGUUUCAUGACCCGGUUUCUUCAUGUUUUGAAGAUGACUGGGUCUUGCUCGCUUACGGGAUUGUAGUCUAUAGUAGGACUGAAGUAGUACCACCUGAGUUUUUAGGUUCAUAGCAGUUGAUUGAUCUUAAUGUGAGGUGCUAUUUUAGUUAUGAAUACUCGAUGUGCAUGAAUGGCACUUUCUGGUUUGGCAAUGAAUAAUUUAUUCAGUCUCGUGAUAAGAGGUGUAUGCAUGUGAUUUAAAAGAGCCAUGACAAACGAAAGUGCCUUUCUACACCCAGGAGCAAAUGCUCCUGGUGUAAAUAGUAAAAUCAAAAAAAAGAAAAAAAAACUCAAAAAAUUCUGAAUUUUUUUUACAUACUUUUGCAAAUUUGUUGUGCACGCAAAAUUUCAUCGCGAAAUCACAUUGAUGGAAGUCGUGCCAAAAAAAAUCAGAGCUCCAAAAUGCUUUUGUAAGUAACAUUUUGAGAGCAUCGGUUUUUUUACCACGCCUUUCACCAAUGUGAUUUUGCGAUGAAAUUUUGCAUGCACAACAACCAUUUAUGGAAGUAUGCCACAAAAAAAUUCAGAUUUUUUUGAACCUGUUUUGAAUUUUUUUUGAAUUUACUGUUCACACCAGGAGCAUUUGCUCCUGGGUGUAGAAACUCACGUGCCGAUGGCAUUGCCCCAAAGACUAGUAUAAACUACAGUUUUGCUAAAGCACAUCUAGAUGUGCCAUAAGUAUUGCACAACUAAGUCCUAUGUCUCUGCUCUUAUGCCGAGAUUCGUGUGAAUAUUUUCUUUUUCUUUUUUCCCCUCUUUAUACUUGAUUCAGUCACUUAAAUGUGCAAUAAUUAAAGCACAUCUAAAUGUGUCCUAGACGAAAAAGUAAUAAUGUUUUUUGAUAUUUCGUUUCAGGCAAUGAUGGUGAAACAUCGGACUUGUCCACAAUACCCACAUGUGAUAUUUAGUCAUCUUUCGGUCAUUCCAGCGUAUCCUACUACUCUGGUUAGCGAUUGGCCAUCCCCAGCCCAGAUAUGUUGAUUUCACCAUGUAUUUGUGUGAAUAAGAUCCGACAAGUAUUUUCGGACGGAGAAAAUACUAUAAGAUGCAAGAAAUCAGAUUAUUGCGGUUACGAUUGUGCACCUCGUGAGUCGUGACACGAGUAGAUGUCGGCCAGGUCGCCGGCAGAAGCAGCCAACGGCACGAUCGAUCUCCCGGGGUCCUCCGGCCAGCAGCUCGGCAUCAGCAGCCCCAGAAUGCACCGUGCGCAACGGCCAAAAUCAUCACCGUCCGUCCCCGCUCGCCCGGCCCGGUGAGCAGGAGAUCGCCUGGCCAGCGCGCGGCCACAUCGGCGAGCCACCCCACACGCGGCCAUGUGGGCUGCGGCCGCGACCCACCCCGUCGCCCUCGCGGCUCAUCUCCACCGCGCGGAAUCCACCCGAACUCGGCAAAAAUCCCAGGCUUCACCACUCCCGUGGCCAGCGCGCGGCCACCUCAGCCACCCCAUCCGCCCGCCUCGCGCCCCGCGCGCCAAUGGCGACUCGGCAUAAGAUUCCCCGGGAUAAGGACCCGAUCGCGCCCGCCUCCUAUUUAAACGCCGCGCGCUCCCGCUUCACUCCACAGCACCAACGACCACCAGCGCCUCCCACUGCCAGCCUCAGCUCACCCGAAGCAAAGCUAGCGAGUAGCACGCAAUGGCGGGCGCGACCAUGGCGCUCUCCUCCCCGGCGAUGGCGGGCACCCCGGUGAAGGCCUCCAGGGCGGCGCCCUUCGGCGAGGGCCGCAUCACCAUGCGCAAGACGGCGGGCAAGCCCAAGGUGGCGGCGUCCAGCAGCCCGUGGUACGGCUCCGACCGCGUGCUCUACCUCGGCCCGCUCUCCGGCGACCCCCCGAGCUACCUCACCGGCGAGUUCCCCGGCGACUACGGCUGGGACACCGCGGGCCUCUCCGCCGACCCCGAGACCUUCGCCAAGAACCGGGAGCUGGAGGUGAUCCACUGCCGCUGGGCCAUGCUCGGCGCGCUCGGCUGCGUCUUCCCGGAGCUGCUCGCCCGCAACGGCGUCAAGUUCGGCGAGGCCGUGUGGUUCAAGGCCGGCUCCCAGAUCUUCAGCGAGGGCGGCCUCGACUACCUCGGCAACCCCAGCCUGGUGCACGCGCAGAGCAUCCUCGCCAUCUGGGCCUGCCAGGUGGUGCUCAUGGGCGCCGUGGAGGGCUACCGCGUCGCCGGCGGCCCGCUCGGCGAGAUCGUGGACCCGCUCUACCCCGGCGGCAGCUUCGACCCCCUGGGCCUCGCCGAGGACCCCGAGGCGUUCGCGGAGCUCAAGGUGAAGGAGAUCAAGAACGGCCGCCUCGCCAUGUUCUCCAUGUUCGGCUUCUUCGUGCAGGCCAUCGUCACCGGCAAGGGGCCCCUGGAGAACCUCGCCGACCACCUCGCCGACCCCGUCAACAACAACGCCUGGGCCUUCGCCACCAACUUCGUCCCCGGCAAGUGAGCGCGGUCAGCUCAACCUCUAGGCCGACAACUUCAUGGCUGAUGGAUGCUGCUGCAUGUGUGUCGUCGUCGAUCUCUGCUUCUUCCCGUUGUGAGAUUGAGUAGUCCGGACUGAUAGAUGUUGCAUGUGAGGGCGAGUCGAGAUGAGGAGUUGGUGUGUGUACACUAAGAUGGUGUUUGUGUAAUAUCUGGCUAUUUUCUCAGAUUAAUCAAGGCAUCUCUGUUCUUCUGCUUAACUUCUUGGUUUCUCUGAACUUCUGAAUGUCAAAUACAGAAGUUCUCCGAAUAUUUUUCUGGAAGUCCAACCAGCUAAAGUAUUCAAAUUCAUA
rnacentral:lncRNA from 1 species